rnacentral:lncRNA from 1 species
GAAAACAAUGGAUGAAUGGAGUUGUUGGGGGUUUACAAUUUCAUCAUUUUUCGCUCUCUCUUAUCUACUCCUCUUGAAUUAUUAGUUUGAUUAAUUAAUUGUCAUGCAACUUUCUUAGCCUACCCUUAACCCGAUCCCUCGGCGAAAAGAGCCUAAUAUUAACUACUGGCUUGCUAUCCCCAGCCUCCCCUAGCAAUUAAUACAUCAUUAUAGAGUAGAAGUUAAACGCAAUUGAUCGUCCUACCCCUAUCCCUAGGUGGUACUGCAAAAUCUAGGAAUUACUCACCAGUUCAUGACAUUACUGUAUGCCCCCGUAUCAAUGAAGACAAACAACAGUUACCGAAUGAGUUAAACGAUAAAGGCCUUAAGCACAGAUGAGAACCCAACAAUUAACAAUCAAACAUAUGAAAACCAUAUAAAUAAUCAAGAGUUUCAAUAAAAGAGAGUAUCAAAAGAUUACAUUGUUUCCCCUAACAACAAUAGGAUUUAGUUCACCAUUGACAUGGUGAAACUAGAUGAAAAAUGGAAGAAGAAUGGAAGAGCAAACCCUAGAAAAGAUGAAAAGGAGCCUAAGCAUCCAAGAGAUCCUCUCUAGAGAGCAAAAUUAGGUCUGGUCGUUCUCCCCUGUCAAAAGAAUGACUCUGAACUCAAAAUAGGGGUAUAUAUAGGUGAGGANUGUAGCAGAAAACAGGCCCAAGCCCAACGAACCACCGCCCGACGGUUUAAGUGUGCCGCCCGGCGGUUUCCCAUAAGCCUCCAAACAGCCUGGCGGCAAGGGUCACCACCUGGCGGUUUCCCUCAAAAUCGCCCAGCGCCAACGCCAGUGCCUACUCCUCGCCCUGGACCGCCCAGCGUUGUAAGUUGUCGCCGGACGGUGCAUCGACUCUUCAAAUCUUCAAAUUUCUUCUCUUUUCUUGAGUCUACGACCUUUAUCUUCAACUCCAUUCUUCAUUUCCUCAAAAUAGCUACAAAACAAUGCAAAACAAGCAUAAUAUCGCUAAAAAUAACUUUUAACUCUCUACAAACUCAUUUAUUGAGUUUUGCUUGAUUCUAAGCUCAUUCCAAGUAGUAAAGGGCGUAAUUAGGUCUAAAAUGACAUAUGAAAAUAACUGUUUUUCAACCUUCAUCAGUCGUGUAAGGAGGUUGUUGGCGCUGUCGUGGUGUAUUUAGGGAUUUCUGCAAGGUUAGUGUUCUACUUUGUUCGUAACUUUUAAAAUGCAGUUGUUGUGCUCAAACUCAAUUUAGCUAAGUUUGAUCACUCUUUUUUUAUCAUCUAUUUGAGCAUGCAUCCAAGCCUUUGAUGUUUCAAGGAUUGUAGACAAUCUGAUUGAGGAUAGUUGAGUCUGGAGAGCAUAGUCAAUAAAUAGAUGUCACCCUCAAGAGUUAUAUUAGGUGACUUAUGAUAGAGAUCAUUGGGGUUUCUUGAGUUCUUAGCCAACUUUAUAAUCAAAUUUGAAACUUAGAACCAAAAUGGGAAAGGGAUGAAAGUAUCUGAGGUGUUUAUUUGAUAUUUGUGUUGAAGUCAAAUUAAGGAGUGGAGUCAAUAAGACUUUGUUGAGAAUUUUAUAUGCAGUGUUUUGGAGCUUAUAAGUUAGCACAACAUCUACUGAAAAGACAAGGCGUGUUCUUUAAUUUUCAUGUGGUUGGUAUUGCCUUUAAAUUUUUAAAAGUGGUGUGCAUUGGUAACCCAUUGAAGAAGGGUCGAAUAUUGCAUUGUAUUGUUGGUUUCGUGUAUGAUUCAAUUUGGUUGUACUUUCAUAAACGAUUCAAUUCUGUUUGGAAAUAUAAAGGAAUUUUAAAGGAGUUUUUCAAUACACUUCCAUUUGAUGUGUUAGGGUGAGGUUUUAAAGGAGUUGGAAUUAUACCCAGAAAGGGAGGAAGAGAGUCUACGGAGGAGACUUGAGCAGUUUAGGAAAGCAAAGGCAAAGGUAUGGGGACCUAAACUGAAAUUGCAUGAUUGUAUGUGUUAUGUCCUAUUAUUUUCAUUCUUGUUUGAUGAAUUUUAUGUUGUUGUAAAAUGUUGUGAAUGUUGAGUUUGAAUGUUAAGUAAUGUUGAUUGGAGUUUUAUGAUAUUGUAAACAUUGAGGUUUGUCAAACUUUAUUAUGAAUGGUUUGAAAAUGAUUGUCAAAUAUGUAAGAGGUUUGUUUUGGUACUUUAAUUUGUGAAUGAUGAAUUUGAACAAAUAAAGCAUGUAUAAUUGCCUCUUCCAUUGGUUCUAAUAAGACAAAAUUAGCCAUGUGACAUCUUACCAUGUUUGUAAGAUCAUAGAAUGUGUAGGUUUAGAUUACCCUUUUCAGUUUAGUAAUGUCUUCUAGAGUUGUGCAACUUGACUACCAUCAAAGAAAUUUGCCUUCGACGAAGUGAGAUUAAUUCUGUUCCACUUCCCAAGUUUCUUUUAGAUCAAAGAAACUUGACUAGCAUAGUUUCACUGCUUGUACAUUGCAAGGAGUGUUUCCAAACACUUGAAUUCUAAAAUUCAGGUUCCUCUCCACUUCCUAAGAAGCUACCUUGGUAGGGGAAGGGUUAUGCAACUUAACUUCCUAAUGCAUGAUGUAUUAAAGUAUUAACCAAAACAGUAAGAAAACUAUCUACACAAGUUUUAAAACAUAAAAGAAAGAUUAAAAUAAGGGCACAAUUCGAAAAUACAAAGAAAUACAACAUUUGACUAUUAAGGACCUAAAAUUACACUACUUAAAACCUAAAAAGUGUACUAAAUAGGUGACAAUUUCGAAAUUGACCUGAAGAAACCUAAAAAUGUGUAAUGUUCUUAUCCUAACAAGUUUAAAGAACUUAAAUAAAGCUAAUAAAGAUGUCAAAUUGGAUCAAGUAGGCAAAUCUCAAAAUUUGGCUAGUUAAACCUAAAAGGUGUACUAAAUAGGUAAGAAAAUGAGAAUUGACCUAAACUAACCUAAGAGUGUGUAUUCUACAAAUCUUAAAAAGUUUAAAGUUGUUAAAGGAAGCUAAGAAACAUGUCAAAAUAGAUGAAGUAGCUAAAUCUCAAAGUUUGCCUACGUGAAACCUAAAUAAGUAGAUGAAGUAGCUAAAAAUCACUACUCAAACCUCAAAAAGGUGUACUACAAUUGCAAACUGCACUAAACUAGGAAAAUAAACUAUCCUAACAAGUUUAGAAUGGUAAAAACUAGGUAAUUAAGAACUCACACUACAAAAACAACCUAGAACUCAAAAUAUGACAACUUAGAACCAAAAACUAGUUACUAGAAUAGGCUAAAAGUGGUCAUAAUGCAUAAUGUAUUAAAGUAUAAACCAAAACAGUAUAAAAACUAUCUACACAAGUUUUAAAAUAUAAAAGAAAGAUUAAAAUAAGGGCACAAUUCGAAAAUACAAAAUACAACAUUUGACUAUUAAAGACCUAAUAUUACACUACUUAAAACCUAAAAAGUGUACUAAAUAGGUGACAAUUUCUAAAUUAACCUAAAGAAACCUAAGAAUGUAUAAUGUUGUUAUCCUAACAAGUUUAAAGUACCUAAAUAAAGCUAAGAAAGUUGUCAAAUUGGAUGAAGUACCUAAAUCUUAAAAUUUGGCUACUUAAACCUCAAAAGUGUACUACAUAGGUGAGAAAAUGGGAAUUGUUCUAAAGUAACCUAAGAGUGUGUAUUCUACACAUCCUAACAAGUUUAAAGUUUUUAAAGGAAGCUAAGAAACAUGUGAAAUAAGAUGAAAUAGCUGAAUCUCAAAGUUUGCCUACUUGAAACCUAAAAAAUUAGAUGAAGAAACUAGAAAUCACAACUCAAACCUCAAAAAAGGUGUACUACAAUUGCAAACUGCACUAAACUAGGAAAAUAAACUAGAAAGAAAGUAUCCUAACAUGUUUAGAAUGGUAAAACCUAGCUAAUUAAGAACUCACACUACAAAAAAUACCUAAAACUCAAAAUAUGACAAGUUAGAACCUAAAACUAGUUAUUAGAAUAGGCUAAAAAUGGAGAAUUAAAGUACUAUUAAAGUUAGAACCUACAAAUAAUGCAAAGUCUAUUAAAGUACUAACAUCCUAACAUGUCUAGAGUAGUGAAAUGGACCUAGGAAACUAUUCAAAAGCAAAGAAUUAGGUAGAACUCAAAAUUUGAGUAGUUGGAAACUAAAAAGUGUGCUUAAAAGGUGAGAAUUUGCAACCAGACCUAAUGUACACUUGUUUUAACUAAUGUUAACAUCCUAACAAGUAUAAAGUAGUUAAAUGAUGCUGGGAAAGUGAUGAAAAGCAAAGAAUUCCCUAAAACUCAAAAUCACACUACUUAAAACCUUAAAAAGUGUAGUAAAAUUGAGUCAUUGCAGGUCAUAAUCCGUUUUGCUGUGAUUCUGUGAUGUUUGGAAGUUUAAAGAAGUCUAAAUUGAUGUAUUAAAACUGUUAGAACCAUUGAUGUGAUGUUACAAAGACCUGUAUGCAAAUUAGUAGUUCAAACCAUGAUAUCUGAGCUAUUUUUUGAACUUCCAAAGUGAAUCUGAGUUCCAGUUCUGUUUUGUGCCUAAUUAGAGUUCAAACAAGUGUAUUUUGAUGAAUUAAAACUGUUGAAAUCAAGUGGAAAGUGUCAGAAUGGAUUAGGCACAAAAUCACUUCCAAAACCACAUAUUUUGAGUCAAUUUUGGGAAGUAGAAAGGUGAAUUUGGGUAGCAGUUUGGUUUUGAGUUACAUAUCAGUUUUAACAUGUUUCAAUUAAUCAUACAAAGUUUUUGAAGUGGUUAAUUAUGAUAAUUAAACUUGUUUGAGUAAAUCACUACUNAAACCUUAAAAUGACAACUAAAAAAGCACUAGAAUGGUUAAGAUUUGCAAACUGCACUAAACUAGCCUAAGAAACUUCUAAGAAACUGUCCUAACAAGUUUAAAAGGGUAAAACCUAGAUAAUUAGAAAUCCACACUACAAAAACAACCUAUAACUCAAAAUAUGACAACCUAGAACCUAAAACUAGUUGCUAGAAUAGGCUAAAAAUAGUCAUAAUGCAUGGUGUCUUUAAGCAUUAACCAAAACAGUAAAAAAAUGAUGUACACAAGUUUUAAAACAUAAACGAAAGAUAAAAAUAAGGGCACAAUUCGAAAAUACAAAGAAAUUAAAGAUUUGACUAUUAAGGACCUAAUGUUACACUACUUAAAACCUAAAAAGUGUACUAAAUAGGUGACAAUUUCUAAAUUAACCUAAAGAAACCUAAGAAUGUACAAUGUUGUUAUCCUAACAAGUUUAAAUUACCUAAAUAAAGCUAAGAAAGAUGUCAAAUUGGAUGAAGUACCUAAAUCUCAAAAUUUGGCAACUUAAACCUAAAAGGUGUACUACAUAGGUGAGAAAAUGGGAAUUGUUCUAAAGUAACCUAAGAGUGUGUAUUCUACACAUCCUAACAAGUUUAAAGUUGUUAAAGGAAGCUAAGAAACAAGUCAAAUAAGAUGAAAUAGCUAAAUCUCAAAGUUUGCCUACUUGAAACCUAAAAAAUUAGAUGAAGUAGCUUGAAAUCACUACUCAAACCUCAAAAAAGGUGUACUACAAUUCUAAACUGCACUAAACUAGGAAAAUAAACAAGAAAGAAAGUAUCCUAACAUGUUUAGAAUGGUAAAACCUUGCUAAUUAAGAACUCACACUACAAAAAAUACCUAAAACUCAAAAUAUGACAAGUUUGAACCUAAAACUAGACUGAAUGUUCAUGUAUAUGUUGUAUGUUGAUGUAUAUAUUAUAUGUUCCUGUAUAUUAUAUGUUCAUUCAUUAGGCUACAACUUGAUUAAGUUAAGUAGUCAUUUAAAGUCCUAUGGUACUACACACCAUCUCAAUGGAGUGAGAAAGGUAAAAGUACCUUUAACACUUAGAAAAAUAUGUGGAAGUGCUGUACAAAAGAGAACUUCAGUAAUAAUAAGUUCUUUCCCCCAAAUUUAAUACACAACCCCUUAGGAUGUCUACGACAUUUUAAUACUAAGGAAUUCUCUUUGCAUGCCCUUAUUGUAUGUUUAGAUAGUAGUGUUCAAAUUGCCUUCCAUGUUCGACUUAAGUAGUAAUAGGUUUAUUACUUAUGUGACAUGGAGUGUUGUUGAUUUCGCUAAGUUUACCUUUGUUUGGCUUGUCACAGAACAUGGCCCAUUUUCUCAACCAUCGUGUAUGGAUGUACGAUCGUUGUCAUAGCGGAAGGAGAGGUUUGAAGGAAUCUUUUGUCAUCGGAGUUGAAGAGUUUGUGGAGACGGCUCGACGAUGUCAAUAUUAUGCUAUUGAUGGAGGGAUUAGAUGACCAUGCAUCAAGUGUGAAUGUACAAGGAUUUUGAAAGAUGAAGACGUUAAAGUUCACCUAUACCUAAAAGGGUUCAUGCCUAAUUACACGGUUUGGACAUUUCAUGGUGAAGAAAUUCCUUCGACCUCAAAUAGAGUUGAAAAUCGGCUUGCAUCAGGUUCAAAUACUAUUGUACAUACAUCUGAGAUAGAUCAAUUUGCCUAUGUGCAAGAGAUGGUCGACAAUGCUCUUCGUCAACAUGACGAACAACAAGAAAACGAUAGUCAUGAUGAAGAGUCUCCAAAUGAAACCACUCAGAGGUUUUACAAAUUACUGACAGAGGCAAAUCUACCUGUAUUUGAAGGUUCAUCUAGGUCAAAAUUGUCAGUGUGUAUUAGACUCUUGGCUGGUAAAUCUAAUUGGAACGUUCCCAAUCAAGCAGUGGAUCACUAUACAAAAUUGAUUUUAAAUUUGACACCACCAAACAAUUCUAUUCCGAAGAAUUGUUAUCAAGCCAAAAGAUGUGUUUCAAUGUUGGGAUUGGAAGCCAAGAAGAUUGAUUGUUGUGUUAAUGGAUGCAUGUUAUUCUAUGACAAUGACAGUGGCAAAAAUGAUGCAUUGUUGGUUGAAUGCAAGUUUUGUGGCUCUCCUCGAUAUCAUACGAUGCAUGCAGGACAAAGGCAAAAAAACCAAUUCCCUUAAAGUCAAUGUUCUACUUGCCCAUUAUUCCAAGAUUACAAAGAAUGUUUACUUCAAUGCAAACAUCACAACACAUGACAUGGCAUGAUGGUAAUAAAACUAAAGGAAUUUUGUGUCAUCCUUCUGAUGGUGAAGCUUGGAAGCACUUCAAUUGUAAACAUUCAUCCUUUGCUAGUGAACCGCGUAACGUGAGACUUGGUUUAUGCUCUGAUGGGUUUACCCCAUACAUUCAGGCGUCUGCAUCACCAUAUUCAUGCUGGCCGGUGAUAGUUACGCCAUACAAUCUACCUCCUGAGAUGUGUAUGACAAAGCCUUACAGGUUUUUAACGUGUAUAAUACCAGGUCCAUCUAAUCCCAAAUUAGCAAUUAAUGUUUAUAUGGAGCCUCUGAUUGAUGAUUUGAAGAAGCUAUGGAAUAGAGUUUGGACGUAUGAUGUUUCAAGGAAGCAAAAUUUCCUUAUGAGGGCAGCUUUGAUGUGGACUAUUAAUGACUUUCUAGCGUAUGGCAUGUUAUCUGGUUGGAGCACGCAUGGUCGAUUAGCUUGUCCACAUUGCAUGGAACAUGCGAAGUCAUUCCAAUUGAGUUAUGGUCGGAAAAGUAGUUGGUUUGACUAUCAUCGAUGAUUUUUGUCUAUUGAUCACCCCUUUAGAAGAAACAAAAAGGAAUUUUGCAAAGGGCAAGUUGAAACGGAUAUGCCCCCGACGAAGUUGACUGGAUCACACGUUUGGAGAAGAGUUAAAGACUAUCCAAAAGUCACUGAAUUUGGACAGAAUAGGAUAGAUGGGUUUGGAGAAUGACAUAAUUGGACUAAAAGAAGCAUAUUUUGGGAUCUUUCCUAUUGGAAAGACAACUUGCUAAGAUAUAACCUGGAUGUCAUGCACAUAGAAAAAAAUUUCUUUGACAACGUCUUGAACACAGUUAUAAAUGUUAUUGGUAAGACAAAAGAUAAUGACAAAGCAAGAAAAGAUUUACCUUUGAUAUGUGCACGAAAAGACUUAGACUUGAAGGAGCAAGCUAAUGGUCGAUUCUUCAAUCAAAAAGCAAACUACACCAUCUCAAAAGAUGAGGCAAUAAUAGUGUAUGGAUGGAUCAAAGAGCUUAGAAUGCCAGAUGGAUAUUCUUCUAACUUUUCCAGAUGUGCCAAUGUUCAGAAUGGUAGUAUUCAAGGCUUGAAGAUUCAUGACUGUCAUGUAUUCAUGGAGACUUUCAUCCCUCUUGCGUUUAGUUGUUUGCCACAGCACGUGUUACAUCCACUGAUAGAAAUCAGUAACUUCUUUAAAAAUUUGUGUUGCACGACACUAGAGGAAAAUUGCCCACGAAAGAUGGAUAAAAAUAUCCCAAUUAUUCUCUGCAAAUUAGAAAGAAUAUUCCCUCCUGCAUUCUUUGAUUCAAUGGAGCAUCUUCCAAUCCAUCUUGCAUAUGAAGUUUGGCUUGGGAAACCUGUGCUAUAUAGGUGGAUGUAUCUCUUUGAAAGGUUUAUGGGAGAAUCCAAACGUUCAGUUAAAAAUAAAGCUAGAAACCACUAAGAAGAACCAAUUUCAAAUCCUUGGAGAUGCAAAUUGGUUAGCUGUCAAAGAGGGUAGAAACCACUAAGAAGAACCAAUUUAGGGCUAACAGUGAUGUUAACCCUAAAGAGGAGUGUAAAGUUGUAGUUACAAGGAGCAAAACGAAGGCGGACAGGGAAGGCAGGCUGGACUCUCCCUCUUUGCAGCGUUUUCAUUAUGGAUGUCAUAAUCCCCCAACCUGCAGCUUCAUUUCUGCUGGGCCGAGGACCUGCUCUUCCAAGCUUGCUUAAUAAAUAAAGCUCGCUGGAUGUGUGCUGCUUUGGGCCANNNNNNNNNNNNNNNNNNNNNNNNNNNNNNNNNNNNNNNNNNNNNNNNNNNNNNNNNNNNNNNNNNNNNNNNNNNNNNNNNNNNNNNNNNNNNNNNNNNNNNNNNNNNNNNNNNNNNNNNNNNNNNNNNNNNNNNNNNNNNNNNNNNNNNNNNNNNNNNNNNNNNNNNNNNNNNNNNNNNNNNNNNNNNNNNNNNNNNNNNNNNNNNNNNNNNNNNNNNNNNNNNNNNNNNNNNNNNNNNNNNNNNNNNNNNNNNNNNNNNNNNNNNNNNNNNNNNNNNNNNNNNNNNNNNNNNNNNNNNNNNNNNNNNNNNNNNNNNNNNNNNNNNNNNNNNNNNNNNNNNNNNNNNNNNNNNNNNNNNNNNNNNNNNNNNNNNNNNNNNNNNNNNNNNNNNNNNNNNNNNNNNNNNNNNNNNNNNNNNNNNNNNNNNNNNNNNNNNNNNNNNNNNNNNNNNNNNNNNNNNNNNNNNNNNNNNNNNNNNNNNNNNNNNNNNNNNNNNNNNNNNNNNNNNNNNNNNNNNNNNNNNNNNNNNNNNNNNNNNNNNNNNNNNNNNNNNNNNNNNNNNNNNNNNNNNNNNNNNNNNNNNNNNNNNNNNNNNNNNNNNNNNNNNNNNNNNNNNNNNNNNNNNNNNNNNNNNNNNNNNNNNNNNNNNNNNNNNNNNNNNNNNNNNNNNNNNNNNNNNNNNNNNNNNNNNNNNNNNNNNNNNNNNNNNNNNNNNNNNNNNNNNNNNNNNNNNNNNNNNNNNNNNNNNNNNNNNNNNNNNNNNNNNNNNNNNNNNNNNNNNNNNNNNNNNNNNNNNNNNNNNNNNNNNNNNNNNNNNNNNNNNNNNNNNNNNNNNNNNNNNNNNNNNNNNNNNNNNNNNNNNNNNNNNNNNNNNNNNNNNNNNNNNNNNNNNNNNNNNNNNNNNNNNNNNNNNNNNNNNNNNNNNNNNNNNNNNNNNNNNNNNNNNNNNNNNNNNNNNNNNNNNNNNNNNNNNNNNNNNNNNNNNNNNNNNNNNNNNNNNNNNNNNNNNNNNNNNNNNNNNNNNNNNNNNNNNNNNNNNNNNNNNNNNNNNNNNNNNNNNNNNNNNNNNNNNNNNNNNNNNNNNNNNNUUUUCCCUGAAAAUAAUAAUGCAAAUAAUUAGCUCAAAAAUUCAAAUUAAUUAAAAUUAGAAUUUUCGGUCAAAUUAAGCAUAAUUAGGAAAAACGGGAAAAUACCGGACAAUUAAGCACAAUUCCCUGAUUAAUUCUAGCACAUAAACUAAGUGAAAUCAAUAAAAUAUUGACUCAUCAAAAUAGACCACACUUAGUCUUUUGCACUCCUGGGCGAAACCAAGACGAAAACCAGGGAACAGUAAACGAACAUCAGGGAGUUGACACAAACUCAACAGACAGAAUUAUAGUCCUCAAGAAAUCUGGACAAAAAAAGGAGGUAAACAGUAUCCCACACAGAAUCAGAGAAAGCAGAUACUCAGAGAAAUCAUCCAAGCAAUUCAAAGCAUGGCAAAAUGAUCAAUCAGUUCAAGAGGUGAAUCAAAAGUAACAGAACCUCACAGAUGCACACUAUCAGUGUUUCUCUCAAGUGUCUAUGGUAAACAGUGUCAACUCGAUGUACUCAAGAAAGCAAGCAACAAAAAGUCUUGGCAAGCCUCUAAUAUCAACACUCAAACACAUAUGCAUGUUCAAAUCAAAAGGUCUUUUAUGGGUGAAAUGGGGCCAAGGAAAAGGGAGGAUAUAAUAUGGAUGAGAAGCUAUAAACCAAAAGAAAUAGAGGAGCAAUGGGGAACAAGUGUAAACACAGUCAAACACACCCAAACCUCUAAUUCAAUCCUCUUCUUGACUCCAUUAUUCACAAUUUUUUUUUUCAUUUUUCUUUGUUUUUUUUUUCUUUUAUUUUCUUUCUCAUCCUGUCUCUUUUCUUUUAUUCUUCUUUUUUUUUUCUAUUUAGAACACAAAUUUCAGAGACAAGAUGUACACAACAUAUUUACAAAAGCAAAAAGAAGAGGAACCAACUAGUCAACUCAUCAGAAUCCCCAAGGAGACCACACUUGUUCCCAAAACACUUCCAAAGCUCCAAAAUUCCCUAAGGUUAAGGUAAACAUGGGUUUUCAGUUAGGGCUAGUGUAUGAGCUUCAAAACAAAGAAAUGGGGAAAGCAUAGGCUCAAAAGGGGUUAUCAAAGGAUAAAAACAGGGUAGGCUCAUUUGGCUAGAAGGGCUCAACAACAUAGCUGCCUUUAUCACUUUCAAACAUGCAUAUCAAUCAAGAAUCAUCAACAAGAGUCAAGCCAAGGCAUGUGUGCAAGCAAUCAAGAGACAUAUCACACACAAGAAAGAAUAUCAAGUGGCCCAAAUUCUCACACAGGGUACUUCUGUCACAAUCAAUCACCCUCUCAAACAUCAUAAUCAUCUUCCAAUCAAAGAAAAGCAUGGAUUUUCAACAAAUCAGAGUAUCAAUGAAGUGAAAGAAAAACUGACAACCAAAACAAAGUCCAGAAAUCAAGAGGAGCAUGCAAAACUGUACACAAGACAAAACAAAAAAUCAGAAUCAGAAAACAUAACUAACAAAGAAAAAUCAGAAUCUCCUCCAAUAGACCACACUUAAACUACACAGUGUCAUCAAUGUGUCACAAGCAUAAGAUCAAUAGUCAAAACAGUCAACAGAUCAUGGGCAAGUGCAAUACAAGUGGGAAAAGGAGGAGAAGGGAAAAGAAAACUCCCCUGAUCAUGGUGGCAGUUGCCAAUUUUGGACUUUCAGGGAGAUAUUCUCCACCACCGGAUUCAGCAAGGAAGUCUUGGGAGGAAUUUCUUCAGUCUCCAAAUUUGAUCAAGCAGGGAGAUGUCCUCCACAGCUGGAUCUAAGAAGGAGUGGUUGUUGAUGAGCGGGUUCAGCCGGUGCCUAUUGAUGUUAAAACUCUUGUGUAUGCUUGCACCUUUGUUUUCCACUGUGGGUGCUUGUUGGUCAAAUUCAUAUGUACCUCCUGCAACAUGGUUAGUGCAAUGUGGUUCCACAAAAAUAACAUGCAGGGGUAUAACACCCAAUCCUAGUGUAACAAGCUGACCCUCAUAUAUACCCUCAGAACAUGAAUCAAUUUCAAAUGUAGAAAAAAUAUUAACAAUAGGCUCAGAUUCAUGUUCAGUGCAUGGAGAGUAAACAUUCAGACAAGAUGGCAAAAGUUGUUUCUCAUCAUGCAGAGAGGAAGAAUUUAAAACAGGCUCAUCAACAUACCUAUCAAUAACAUCAUCAUCAACAGAAGAAUCAAUCUUAGGUAUGUUUACCUCCACCUCCCUGGAUGUGGCUAAAGUGGUGGAAGGUGAAAGUGGUCUACCUAUCUCAAAGGUGUUGCUCAUAUCAGCCUGUUCCUCCAAUUCUUCAUCAGUCUCCUCAGGUGCAAGAGUGGGGACAUAGGAGGGUGGGAAAGUAGAUGACACAGUAGUAAGCUCAUUACUCUGCUUCCCAUCUCCUAUGUGAAUGGCACUGGCAUCAUCAAGAAUCUGAACAGUCUGAAAUGGUGAUCCCUCUGAAACUUGAGACUGUUCCUCAAUGAACUGAGUGGCCAUCUGCCCCAACUGAUCAGUUAAACUUUGCAUGGAAGCUAUAAAUUCCUACUGAAACUGCUAAUACUGAGCUCUGGUUUCCUGCUGAAACUGUAUAUUCUGCAUGGUCAUCUGUCUCAACAACUCCUUCAAUGUAGGCUCAGAAGUAGUGGAAGGAUGAGGAGUUACUUGGGCAGGCUGAUAUGACUACAGCUGCUGUAGCUCCUGGCCUGGUGGAGAAGGCAUACAAGAAUUCUAGAAUGAAUGAUAUUGCUGUGGAGCAUCACACCAUCCCAAGCUAGGGUUAUUCCAUCCAGGAUCGUUGUUGUAACCAUACUUAACAGGGAAGAAUUCAUCCAAGAACAUAUGCUUAAGAUCUUCCCAAGAAGUGAUGGAUCCUGGAGGAAGACAAUAUAGCCAAUCCCUUGCUGCUUUUUGUAAUGAAUGCGGAAAUGCCCUUAAAAACAUGUGAUCAUUAGGUACAUUGGAGGUUUCUUUGAAGAGCAAAUGGUGUAGAACUCCUCCAAAUGUCUAUGUGGGCAUUCACCUGCAAAACCAUGAAACCUAGGUAACAAAUCUAUUAGUCCAAAGGUGAGAAUGCAAUGAACAUCAUCCUCACUAUGUGUAACCGGCUCCCAAAGAGCACUCUUAAGAAUGGGAGGAUGAGUCAUAUUGUUCUCAACAUAAAAAUCAGCAGAAUAUGCAUGAGAAGCAAUAUCAGAGUCAGAUGCAGAAGGAGAAUCAUAGACAUAGGCAGAAUAAGCAUUGCUCACAUAACCAAAAUAGGCAAACAUGUAGAAAGAAAGGGGAAAGAAGAAUGCAAUGAAAAUAUGCAACUAAAGCAACCUAAAUGCAACACACAAUGACGAACACACAAAACAGAAUAUCACACUCACAAAACAAGACAAAACACAACACACACUAACACAACAAAAGACCUAAGACCGAACUGUUGGUCCUCGGCAACGGCGCCAAAAUUUGAUGGGUGUCGCAACCCAUACAAAUUUGAUUGCAUAUGAGAAAUGCAGUAUAGCUAGGGAAUGACUCCUAGGUCAUCUCUCAAGGACCAAUUUGCGAUUCGAGUCUUAGGUCACACACGAAGUGGGGGGGGUGGGGUUGUGAAAGGUUUUUUUUUUUUUUUGCAAGGAAAAUUAAAUUAAAUUAAAACUGAAAAUUAAAGGCAACAAAACAGUGCAUGAAAAUAUUAACUAAAAUUAAAUGCAUCAAUUAAGCAAAAGAAAGGAAAAGACACAUUGCAAUAGAAAUAAAGAAAACAAUGCUUUUUUUUUUCUAAAAUAGAACCGUGCAGCAUCAUCAAAGUAGAAUGUCCCAUGCCUUUCAUCAAUCAACGCGUUACCUCAUCCACUCAAUGCAAGGUAAAAUGAACGUAGCUAAUCCUCUCACGGUCAACAACAUUUUAUUUCUUUCUUUCNAAUAUAAAAAUUAAAGUGANAGCAGCAAAAAUUCUAGUGAGUAAAANCUCCAUCCAAACUAUGAUGGAGUAAGCAAGUACGGUUAUGAGUGNAAAUCCAUAAACACAUGUUGCAACCANCAUUGAUGACAUCCGUGCAGCGAAAAUGAACUUCGAGGAAUGCAAAUAUGCGUNAGCCAGUAAUANAGAAUCACAAGANAGUUGAAAAUAAAAAUAUUCAANGUAAAAAUGAUAGAGGAAAAUUUGAAUGNGUGAACANCAAAGUAAUAUGAAUCUGUGUGUGCUUGGCUUCUAGUAAAAGCAAUGAGUGUUUUCUUUCAGCUAAAAUAAAUGUGCGCCCCUGCUAUCUCCAUUCAAGCAACAUCACUCUCCAUGGUCUUACUCCCAGAAGCUCCUUCCAAAGUGUGGCGGCUGUCCUCUAUUCUUCUGCAAUCCCGAGACAUUCCCCUACCCUACUGCCAGCGUGGUCUCCUAAGUUGCUACCCUUUUUCCGUUGCUGGACACCUCUCAAGUGGGUCGUUACCGCUGUUUCAAGCAGGCUGGACUCUCCCUCUUUGCAGCGUUUUCAUUAUGGAUGUCAUAAUCUCCCAACCUGCAGCUUCAUUUCUGCUGGGCCGAGGACCUGCUCUUCCAAGCUUGCUUAAUAAAUAAAGCUCACUAGAUGUGUGCUGCUUUGGGCCAAGGUCGUGCUGUAUGCGAGAGCUGGACGUGAUGAAGGUUGUUUGCUGCACCGUCCAUUUGCUUGCUGAACCGUGGAGUACACAUGGGCCAUGAUGAAGGCUGCCAGCGAGAAUGAAUGGAGAGCUGUUGUGCUAAAUGGGUGUUGCUGCAUGCGUGGAGUUUGGGCCGUAGUGUUGUUGAUGCACCGUAUGGUCGCUGCUGCACCUCCUUCCAAGAUGAGGCCAGAUGCUGUCUAAGUUGCUUGUGGCGUGGGCUGCUGCUGAUUACACCAAUGUGGGUUGCUGCCUUUCUUCAAUAUCACAAGGCCCGCUACUGCUGUGUGUGUAGAUAGCUGGGAGAGCUUUUAAAUGGAAUUAGCCACCUCCUCAAGCUGGACGUGUGGUAUUUUAAGAAGCUGCACCUCCAUUCUUCACAAAGGUAUUGAGCCGUGACAAGCUCUUCCAAGAUGGACCAGUGCUGCAAAUCUUCUUGAAGACUGGAUGCUUCUGCUGGGCCGGAAGCUGAAUUCUCCAUUUGGACCUCCGUGGCAGCUCUCUUGGACGUGAAUGCACCCUGGCCGUGAAGAACUGGUGCAAGUCUGGACUGUGGUGGACCAAUGCUUGAUGCAUGUUGGCCUUUUUCUUGAAGCACCGCUUUGUUGCUUUUCUGCAUCUGUGACACCAAGCAAGGUUCAUUGCUCAUGGGCCCGCUGCCAUAUCUCCAACAAAUAAAAGCAUUCCUUUCUCUCGGUGGGUUCCAUUUCAUGCAACAACAUUAUUUCUCUUUUUUCUCCCUUUCAAAAGCCCAAAGACAGUGUAAUGUUCUUUUCUUUAUUUCUUCCAAGCCGUGACACUUCAGCCUCAUAUAUAAUUGAAUUGAAUCAACCAGNUGGACUCACACCCUCUUCAUGUGUACACUUUAAUUUUAUUUUUCAGCCCAAUGAAAUUCAUUUAACCUCCCAAUGUCCUAAAUUAUAUUUCCAAAAUUUUCCCUGAAAAUAAUAAUGCAAAUAAUUAGCUCAAAAAUUCAAAUUAAUUAAAAUUAGAAUUUUCGGUCAAAUUAAGCAUAAUUAGGAAAAACAGGAAAAUACCGGACAAUUAAGCACAAUUCCCUGAUUAAUUCUAGCACAAUAAACUAAGUGAAAUCAAUAAAAUAUCGACUCAUCAAUGAAUGCAAGGAUGGAGUCUCUCCACAGAGGGCAGAUAGCUACUGCUGUGAUGAUUAUAGGAUUAUAUGACAUGCCGCCAAUGCACAGGUGGACUAUGGACGUGUUCCAUAGUACGAUGGCUUGGCCUCAGGAGUAGGCACAGGGCAGCGGGUGCGGAGCAGCUAGAGCACCAUGCAGAGAUGAGGAUGAUCAGGAGGAUGAUGAUUUUGAGGAUGCACAGGAGGGUGAUAAGUACGACUCAGAUGAGGACAUGGACUGAUAGGGCAUCUACUUAUGGAUGCCAGCACUUGAACAAGGGUUUUUCUUUUUCUUUUGUACUUUGGAUUUGUAGAAUAGGUUGAACUUUAUUUUUGUGUCUAUGCUUGGCUUUUACACUGGUUCUGAUAAUGGUUUGAUGAUUAUAUUGCAUGAUGAGUUAUUUGAUUAUGAUUGAAAGUGGUUGAUGAUUGAAACUAUGUGCAUGUUGACAUCCAGGUGAAUGGUUCACUAACUAUGUGAACAAAUGUGUUGUGAUUUAUGAUUGUGAUUACGAUGUUAAGCAGGAUUUAUGAAUGAUGUUUGAGAAAGCAUGUUGUGUGAGGUAUUAAGCUCUAGAGUUUUCAUUGAUAUAUGAACUGUUCAUAGGGAAGCAUGAAUGAUAUUGCCUGAAUCUUGAUAGUUGAUUGAAAUGCAAGUUUAUGUCAUAUGAUCAGGGCCAUGUUUGGAGGCCUUUACUUAGCCAAAUUUUUACCCAAAGUGAUUAAAGUGUUAUACCCUUUUUGAACCUUAUCCUUAAAUAGGAUGAAAACCCUUGUUGAUGGAAGAAUGCUCCAAGGAGAUGACCGUACGAGCAUCGCGAGCUCCUUGAAGCUUUCUCUGGAAGAGAAGAUGCAGCGGAAUGUUGAAGAACCUUUUGACCGAGAGAGAAAUCAGAAGAAACUCUAGGAAACCCUAGGAGACAAACCACGUUCUAGAACCAGAGAGGAUUUGAAUCUACGAACCCUAAAAUCAGAGAAGAACAUGAAAAACCCUAAGAGAUGCAAAAUGAACCGAUAAUCGGUUCAAAAUAACGAUUGAUCGGUGAAUAAUGAAGAACAAUCGGUGGAAAGGCUUUUAAUCGAAAGGAAAUGGAAAACAAUCGGUGGAAAUCGAAGGAGCAGCGGAAGUGAUGAAGAAACCUAGGGUUUGAAGAGGAUAACCGGUGGAAAUGGUGGCAAACCAGUAAUAACAAGCAACAAUGGUGGAUCUGUGGUUGGAGAGUGGUUUGGUGAUGAAGAAAGGUUGGAGAAAAUGAAAACUCUCGAGAGCGAGAGUGAAACGCUCUCCUGAAGUGUGAAGGAGGAAAUUACGCGAGCUCCUAAUGACUCGCUUAGGAAUGAAGGCGUGAUUCAGCGACUGACGAGGCGUUGCGUGGCUGAACCGGAUUGGAGGAUGAUGUGUCAUGGAGGAGAGUGGCUGAGGCUUUCACGGGAAGCUGAAGACGUGUCUGAUGAUUAAUGGAGUAACGUGUAUGAGAGAGAAAGCACAAUGGAAAUGGAAAAUAAGAGUGAGAGAGGUGCUUGGAAGGUGGCUAGAGGAAGUCUCUGGACUCUCUAGCCUAUGACUUUCAAGAAAAUUAAUUCUGGGUUUCAGAAAUCUAAUUCUCAUUAAUCUCAAAAGUAAAUAGUAAAAAUGAGGAGCUGGGUAUUUAUAGUGACCCAUUCUCCCUACAAGCUACACUACAGAUACAAUAAAAUGUACAAAAAAAGGACUACAUGAGACAAGAUUCCAUCAUACCCUCCCUCGUAAAAAAAGAUUUGUCCUCAAAUCUGGCAAUUGCCUUAUGAAGAAACUCCACACAUUCUUUGGAUCAUGGCCAUCUUGGAAUGGCCUUAUUCUUUUGGAUCCACUUUUCUUCCUCCUGGAUCAAAGACGAAUCUGCAAUAUGCAUCAAAUAUAUCUUCAAUUAAUGUCAAUCCAAAGAGGAAACUUUCUACAAAAACAAGAGAAUAAGGACUCCUAUUAUUUUGAUUUGUAAUCUUUAAAAAUGUUAGAAGUCCAAAUUCAAUAUUGUCUUGAGUUACUUGUUUUCUUGAAGAUAACAAUAACUCAAGAUUUGAAUUGCCAUAGUUUGAAAAUGUUUGCAUAGAAUAUGGAAUGGCAAUUGGUUGGAAAGAGAAAUCAAAACUAGAAGAUUGAAUAAUGAUGGGAAAAGAUUGAAAACCUUCCCUUUUAAGAUUGGAUUCUAUGGUUGGAGUCAAAAUUGCUCUUAGUAACACUUCUUCCUUUUCUUUUUUUUCCCUUUCUUGUCUUUCCUCUUCUCUUUCUCUUCUCUCUUUUUCUUCUCUCUUUCUCUUCUCUUCUUCUUUCCUCUCUUCUCUUCUUAUUCCCUCUCUUCUCUCUUCUUCUUCUCUUCUUAAUUCCUCUCUUCUCUCUUCUCUCUUUCUCUUAUCUUCUUUCCUUUCUUCCUUUUCUCUUCUCUCAAUCUCUCUUUCUCUUUUCUUAUCCUUNCUCUUAUCUUCUUUCCUUUCUUCCUUUUCUCUUCUCUCAAUCUCUCUUUCUCUUUUCUUAUCCUUGAUCUCUUUAAGUCUUGCCCCAAAUUCUAACUCUCUCCUAAGAAACCCAUGAUCAUUUAAACUCUCAAGAAAGAUUUUUCCAUUUUCAAUGCAAUCUUUAAUUAAUUCUAAGUUUCUUUUAAUGCUUGAAGGCACAAACUUUCUUCUCAUGCAAGCUUUUAAAUCACACCAAUCAUGAAUGGGAGACUUCCUACCUUUCCUAACAUGAUAUUGCCUUUCAUCCCACCACUCACUUGCAUGUCCUUCUAACUUAGAGAGAUAAAUGCUAAGAACAUAAGACUCACUCUCUCUAUAAAACCAAGGAUUUAUUUUAUCUAUCUCUUGUUGCCAAGCUAGGUAUGUUAAUGCACCUAUGUCUUUGCCAAAAAAUGAAAGAUUCCUAGCUUGAUUAAACUUUUCAUCAACUUUAUCUAAAGUAGACAACCUAUAUGAACUAGAAGACCUAGAAGAAGACCUAUAUGAACUAUAACAAGACAUCUUUGCUUUUAAAAGUUUUCUUAAUCUAAAGGACUAAAAGCUUCCACUUUAGACAAAUUUGCCUUAAGCUACUAACUAAUUAUCCUUUAAACAAAAAUCACUUUUAAAAUCAAAGACUCAACUCAAACAAUCAAACAUUUAGCGGACUCUAGACCCUAAAACGUGAACACAAAUCAUCGGACUCUAAUGUGACAAAAGUCACACCUACACGUGAACAUAAACAAACACAAUCAAAUGCAGUCAAAUUCUACUUCUAUGCACCUAUCUAGCUAUGCUAUAAAGUAAUCAAGAAAAGUUGGAAGAAUGAAAAGCGCACCAAGGACUCUUCCAAACUUGGACUUUAUAAGAGGCCUUUUACAAACAGAGCUAAAACUACUAGUGACAGUGGACUACACAAGCCCAUCAAAUACAAAGAAAAAGAAAAAUACAAACAAAUUUAAUCCUAGGCUAUUGGUCUCUUCUUUAACCCACAUAUGAUACGGUCUUGAUCUUUUAAGCUUUCUUGCUUCAUCUUGCACAAAGUCUUCAAGUGUCCAAUUAUUCAUGUGCCCACAAAACAGCUACGGUCUCGGCCUGUCCACUUCAGCAGAAUUAACGUGCCCAGUUCUUGUCCAAUGCUUCAAGAAUCUCGUGCUCAAUCUAAUGAUCCCAACAGUUCAGCUCUUUACACAACCAACAAUAUGAUCAUAAAACCGCACAACAAAUUAAGAGUUCUCCCUGCAAUUAGUCAGCUCAAAUCUGCUCACUAAAACUACACCAAUUUUAGCAAAUCACACAAAAUUCAGGUAUAUGUAAUGCAAAUCUGAGACUAGACUGCUAACACCCAGCCCAAUCUAAUCAGAUUCUAAUCAAUCCAAUACAAUAAAAUGUGCAACAGUAUGUGUAGCAAUAUGUGCAGCAACAACAAAGGCAAAGCAGGACAAUUUAAGUAGUUCAGCAAUCAAUCUAGACAAGAGUGACGUGAUACAAUCAGAAAUGAUGCAUAGAUAUAGCUGAAACAUGUUACUACAGAAGUGAAGUUCAAAAUGCAAUCAAGAGAGUGUUUGCAACUUCCUAUCUCACCUAACAAGUUCAACAGAUCUUAUGAACCCAAAAUCAAUCAUUCAACAAGCUUAAUCCAUGAAAUUAGUUAUCACAUUCAAUCAGUUAUGAUAGCAAUGAUUCAACAUACAAUUUAUAAAAAAUGAAUGCAACAGAAUGCAAUAUUCAGAUUCAAUGCAAUAAAACUUUCUCUUUUGAUUCCACGGUUUGCAUCCCAGCUUAAUCAAUCUGCAGAAUGAUCAGUCAACAACAGUUAGAUGAACAAUGAAUUAUCCUUUUCUCAAAUGGCCAAGGAAAUUAGGUUAAAGUAAGCCUUACAAAACUCUCAUCACUCAAGGCUUCUCUUAAGAAAUGUAAAUCACACAGAGGAAAGGUUUGGAAGGGAGAUUCUCCCUUGUCAGUUCAAGGUUGGAUAGUCUUUCAGACCACCACCACCUAGGAUGCUACCAAGCACACAACCUUUCUCAAAUUUUCCAGAAAUCCAGAGUGACACAGCUUCUCAAGAAUAAAUGGCUAGGCUAAAGCAAUGGCAGAUACUAGAGACAAGUAGGACAGUUUAAAGCAAUGAAAGCACGACAGGUCUAUUUCCUAAGACAACUCUAGAAUAGAUGAAGAAAGCAAAGAAAAGAUCCAAUUAGGAACAGGAGAUCAGAAUGCACUUGUGAAGUAGACAAAACUAAGAAAGUCAAUCAAGACAAGCAAUAAAAGCAACUUAGAAAGGCUGGCACACAAAUUGAACCUAUGAUUGGCACUAGAACAGAUUUUAAAAACAAGAAAAGGACCUAAGUUGAACCAGUAUUGAACAGAUUUGAUUUUCCAUAUUUGAUGUUCUGAAUUAGAGGCAGCUAUUGUGAAUUGCACUAAGUCCUUCAGCUCUUCUUUUUUUUUUUUAUAACUUGUAACAAUAGGAUUAAUCCUUAAUUGCUUCCAAUGUGAUUGACUUACUACUCUUGCUACAGUCCACAAUAGACUAAAACCAAUGCAGUUUUCAAAUCAGCACUUUACUUGCAUCAGAUUAAUGGUUCAACUUAAUAAAAAGAAAUACACAGAAAUGGUUUCAUUGAUUACUUUUGACUCUAGCAUCAAAUGAAUAUCUGAACAUAACAGUGUCUUAAAAUUUAUAUGCUAAGCUCACUGGUAUAUCAGAAUUGUCAUAUGCAACUGCAGCUUUUGAAGAAUCAAAUUUCACUAUUAACCAAAACUGUAUAAAAGGAAUUUGAAUAACAAAACAACAAAGACUCUAGGAAUUUGAUUAAACUAGAAGCUUAGUAAUGAACUAAUACCAAGCAGAACAGACACACUUCAAGACAUUAACACAAACUACAGAGAAAAACCAGUUCGGUGUAGCUGGCCAAAUCACAAUUCUGCAGAUUAAUCAAUGUGCAACCGAGCUAGGCUGAGCCUUUCAUUGCUCACUUGGUAUGCACUUGUUACUGAUUAAGCAGAAACCAAGCAAAGCUAUCAACAACUAUCAAACAGAUUCAAGAAACAUGAGAUUCAUUAUCUAUAACACUGAAAUCUGCCACCAAGCUCGUUUAUCCAACUGUCAUAGCUUAUAUAUGGUGAACAGAACUUACCCAGUGCAGGCAACUCGAAUGAAUCACAAAUCACAAGCAACAGCUAGCUAAACUCAAUUUUAAUUGACAAUUAAAACAAAGCACAAGACUAGAACAUGACAGAAAUGGAUUUAGAAAUUAAAAUGACUCAAAGCAAAUGAUUCACUGAAUAAAGAUGAGAAGAAGACUCAAAUCAAAAACGCAAAGGCACAAAACAACUCAACAUACAAUUAGAACCUAUUUGAACAUAAAUGAAACUCAAUCAGAGAAAUUAAACUCAACAAAUGCGAAAUCAACACAGACACAAGAAUCGAAACAGAUAGAGAUACUUAGCUUUGACGCGUGGUCGACCUUGCUCUGACUACCACUUGAUGGAAGAAUGCUCCAAGGAGAUGACCGUACGAGCAUCGCGAGCUCCUUGAAGCUUUCUCCGGAAGAGAAGAUGCAGCGGAAUGUUGAAGAACCUUUUGACCGAGAGAGAAAUCAAUAGAAACUUUAGGAAACCCUAGGAGACAAACCACGUUCUAGAACCAGAGAGGAUAUGAAUCUACGAACCCUAAAAUCAGAGAAGAACAUGAAAAACCCUAAGAGACGCAAAAUGAACCUAUUAAUCGGUUCAAAAUAACGAUUGAUCGGUGAAUAAUGAAGAACAAUCGGUCGAAAGGCUUUUAAUCGAAAGGAAAUGGAAAUCAAAGGAGCAGUGGAAGUGAUGCAGAAACCUAGGGUUUGAAGAGGAUAACCGGUGGAAAUGGUGGCAAACCAGUAAUAACAAGCAACAAUGGUGGAUUUGUGGUUGGAGAGUGGUUCGGUGAUGAAGAAAGGUUGGAGAAAAUGAAAACUCUCGAGAGCGAAAGUGAAACGUUCUCCUGAAGUGUGAAGGAGGAAAUUACGCGAGCUCCUGAUGACUCGCUUAGGAAUGAAGGCGUGAUUCAGCAACUGACGAGGCGUUGCGUGGCUGAACUGGAUUGGAGGAUGAAGUGUCGUGGAGGAGAGUGGCCGAGGCUUGCACGGGAAGCUGAAGACGUGUUUGAUGAUUAAUGGAGUAAUGUGUAUGAGAGUGAGAGAGGUGCUUGGAAGGUGGCUAGAGGGAGUCUCUGGACUCUCUAGCCUAUGACUUUCAAGAGAGAAUUAAUUCUGGGUUUCAGAAAUCUAAUUCUCAUUAAUCUCAAAAGUGAAUAGUACAAAUGAGGAGCUAGGUAUUUAUAGUGACCCAUGCUCCCUACAAGCUACACUACAGAUACAAUGAAAUGUAAAAAAAAGGACUACAUGAGACAGGAUUCCAUUACUUGUGUUGAAUUAAUUACCUUGAGUUGGGUUAAAAAUAAUUGUAUGUAUUGAAAAGGUUCAAGUUUUGGGUUGUUUGGGGAAAGUUAAAAGGCAAAAGAAAAGUAUUGAGCUUAAGUGUUGGAAAAGAAAAAGCAUGAAAGAUGAGCUCAAUAAAAAGAAAAGGAAGAAGUUGAGAAUGAGUGAGAUUGGUGAAAAAAAGAGUUUGUACUUGAACUUUGAAUGUUAAAAUAACUCUCUUGACUCAUGGAUUUUGUGAUCUAGAAAAACCAAUUUUUCUUGUUAACCCAGCCUCAUUAUAAGCUUUGAAAAUGCCCUUGUGAUGACCUUUUGCAUGUGAGAAUGUUGAUUGUUUUAGAUGAAGGGCAAUUUUGUUUUAUGUGACAUGUGAAUAGUUGAAAGUGGAGUGUCCUCCUAAACACAUGAGUGAUUGAGUGAAACACUUGCUUGGUGAGAAUUGUUGAAUUCCAUGUUUACAUCUAUGCUUAGAAGAUUGAUCAUUCAUGAAUAAAACAUAUGUUGGGAAAUAUUUGAUUAUGUGAACUAAAUUGGAUUGAAAGCAUGCAUGCAUCUUGAUAGGAUUCCACUGAUAAUCUAAAUUGAAUAAUAACUUAUCAUGAGAAGAAUGAGUUUUAAAGAUGUUGAAUUAUUUGAUGACGAACUGGAAAGCCAAGUUUUGUCUUGUUUGCUUGAGGACAAGCAAAGUUCUAAGUUUGGGAUUGUGAUAACGGUCUAAAAACCGUUAUUUUCAUGCUUAAAUACGAUAUCAAAACAUGCCCUUUGUGGCUUACAAUGAGCUUAAAAUCAAGUAAAACACAUAGUUGAGUAAUGAGAGAGUCAAAAGUUGGUUUUAGAGAUAUUAUGCUUGUUUUUGCAUUCUUUUAAUGAGAAUUGAAGAUGAACGUGAAUUAGAAUGGACUUAGACUCAAGAAAGAGGAAGAAAAAGGAAGAAAAGAAGAGUCUAUGAACCGCUCAGCGGCUAAAACAAAUGUUGAGCGGUCAGAGCGAUCAGAGGCAAACCGCUCAGCAGUAAAACUGACUGCUGAGCGAUGGCGCGACUAAGAGGCAAACCGCUGAGCAGUUCACUUAAGUGCUGAGCGGUUAUCUGUUUUUUUUUAUUUAGAUUCUGUUAUCUUUUUGGUCUAUAAAUAGACCCAGUGCGAUUCAAAUUGUAAUCUUUUGGCCAGCAGAGACGUCCAGAGCUGUUCUACAUACCUUGGAGGAGGUUCCUUGGAUUCUUAGGCUCCAAUCUACCAAAUUUAGGGUUUAUUCUUCCAUUCUUUCAUUAUUUUUCAUCUACAUUCACCAUGUCCAUGGUGAACUAAACCCUAGGUUUUUGGGGAACAAUGUAAUCUUUUGAAACUCUCUUAUAUCAAAAUUCUUAUCUUCUUUAUAUGCUUGCAUAUGCUUAUCUUUAUCACUAUUUGGGUUCCUUACCUUUGCUUAAUGCUUUUAUCAUUUAACUCAUUCGGUAAAUGUUGUUUCUUCUUAUUGAUACGGAGACGUACAGUAAUGUCAUGAACUGGGGGGAAUUCCUUGAUUAUGCUAAUAUCGACUAGAGAUAAGGGUAGGACGAUCAAUUGUAUUUUGCUUCCGUUUAUCAAGCAUUAUUGGUUACUAGGGGAAGCUAGAGAUAGCAAGUCAGUAACUAGUAAUAGGAUCUUUUCUCCAAUAGAUUGGGUUUAGGGUAGACUAAGAAAGUUUGCAUGACAAUAUGAUAAAUAAGCUAAGUAGAGAAGAAAAGUAGAUAUAAGAGGGUGUAUAAGAUGAAAUUGUAAACCCCAACAACUCCAUUCAUCCAUAGUCUUUUCUAGCCAAUUGAUUCACUGCAUUUUGCAUGUUUACUUUAAUUCUUUGCAUUCAAAACUUAAAUUUAAUUCUUUUCUAAAGUCUUAUGCGAUUGGUUUACACGAAAGUUAAGGCCUAAGAGUCCUUUGGGAAACGAUACUUGGACUUACCCAUUUUAUAUUACUUGAUAACGAUCUGGUACAUUCUCCAAGGACUUAACACUGGUGCAGGAUAAGUGGCCAAAAUCUCCCAAUUUUUGCUCUCUAGUUCCUCUCCAAAUUGUGGAGCCGAGUCUGGUAUCCAUCCUGUCUUCCGCUCGAUCAAGAGUCUUCUAUCUUGGACAAUGUUAAGCCACUAGUAAGUGUACCAGAUCGUUAUCAAGUAAUAUAAUUGGUAAACCCAAUAUCGUUCUUCCUAAAGGACUCUUUAGGCCUUACUUUUCAUGUAAACAAAUCGCGUAAGACUUGAGAAAAGAAUUAAGUUGGUGUUUGUAUGCAAAGAACAAAAAUAAACAUGAAAAUGCAGUUGAUUCAAUUGGUUUUAAGAAACUAUGGAUGAAUCGUGUUGUUGGGGUUUACAAUUUCAUCUUAUCCACUCUCAUAUAUUUACUUUUCUUAUUUACUUCACUAAUUUAUCCAAUUGCCAUGCAAACUUUCUAGCCUACCCUUAACCUAAUCCCUUGGUGAAAAGAGCCUAUUAUUAAUUACCGGCUUGCUAUCCCUAACCUCCCAUAGUAACCAAUAAUGCAAUGUGAGCAGAAGGAAAAUACAAUUGAUCGUCCUACCCCUAUCCCUAGGUGGUAUUAGCAUAAUCAAGGAAUUUCUCACCAAUUCAUGACAUUACCGUACGUCCCCAUAUCGAUAAAGACAAACAACGUUUACUGAAUGAGUUAAACAAUAAAAGCAUUAAGCAAAGAUGAGAACCCAACAAUUGAUAAACAAGUAUAUGACAAGCAUAUGAAAUAAAUAAGAAUUUGGAUAUAUGAGAGUUUCAAAAGAUUACAUUGUUCCCCAACAACAAAGGGUUUAGUUCACCAUAAUCAUGGUGAAAUUAGAUGAAAUAUGAUGAAAGAAUGGAAGAAAUAACCCUAAACUUGGUAGAUUAAAGCCUAAGCAUCCAACAAACCUCCUCCAAGGUGUGUGGAAUAGCUCUAGACGUUUCUCUCUGGCAAAAGAAUCUUCUUUUGAUUCGCACUGGGCUAUAUAUAAGCCCAAAAAGAUAACAGAAAGAUUACAGAAUCUAGCUAAUAAAAACAGACAACCGCCUAGGUGCCUAAGUUCACCGCUCAGCGGUUUGCCUCUUGCCGCUUUGACCGUUUCGCGGUUAGUUUUGCCGCUAAGCGGUUUCCCUCUAAUCGCUCUGAGCGCUCAGUGGACCAUUCUGGCGCUUAGCGGCAUACUUGACCCUUCUUUUCAUCAUUUUUCUCCUUCUUUCAUGGGUCUAAGUCCACCUUACUUCACUUCCAUCUUUAAUUCAUCUAAAAACCCUGCAAAACAAUGUAAAACAAGCAUAAUAUCUCUAAAACCAACUUUUGACUCUCACAAGACACAACUAAGUGUUUUACUUGAUUUAAAGCUCAUUCUAAGCCAUAAAGGGUGUGUUUUACUAUCAAAUUUAAGCAUGAAAAUAAUGGUUUUUGGACUGUUAUCACACAAUGAGGAAGUGUUGUUCAUGGCUCCUAGAGAGGAAUUUGUUGGAAUAGGAACACUCAGGUUCCUUCCUCUUGUGUCCCAUGGUCUUGAUUCUUUUACCCGAUGAGGAGGCCAUCCCUACAUCAAACGCAAUUCACAACACCACAAGGAACAUUUUUAAGCCUUAGUAAAUCACCGAACAACACCAAGCAUGCUUCCCUAUCGUCGUUGAGGGGAAAACAAGGCCCCUCAGCGUCACCUGCAACCAGAAAACAUCCAAACAACACAAAACUCGAAAUUCUACAGAACUCGCACUCAGCAGUAACUAGCUUUGAGCGGUAUCAGUUCAACUUGUAAAACUGCCCUAGCUGGCCUUCAAUCACUACCCACAUGCAUUUUUCACAGUUCCAGUUCUCAAUCAAGCAUUUUAAUCGGUCCAAACAGUGAUUAUUUCACUCAAUCAUGCAUAAACAUCAAAGUCCCUCAAGAAUCAUGCUUAGACAACCAUAUUCAUUCAAAAUCAUGCUUCCAAAACCCUAGAAUGUAAAAUACAUGUACUUACUUGGGUGAAGAUUCUCAAUAUAUGAAGAAUGCUCAAUGAAAUUUAAGGAAUCAACCCCUAACAAUAGUGCUCUCACAAAACCCCAAACUUGGAUGGGGACUUGGUGCAAAAAUGGGUGGAGAAAGGGUUUUUUGUGAAGAGGGAUAAAGGGGAAAAGUGGAGAGAAUCCUUUGGAAGGGGAUUUGGAAUGGCUAGAAUGAGUGGGGGCUGAAUGGAAUAACUUGGCGAAACCUAGGGUCAGUAAAAUACCUAAUGGGCCAACUCACGCUGGGCCCAAUUUAAAACCCAAAAACCCAUCUCAGCAGAACUCGCGCUCAGUAGUAACUGGUGUUGAGCAGUGGGCCUGAGAUUAAUUCUCCUUCUUCCUAGCUUGCCCUAAGCGUCCAUCACCAAUGCUGCUCAACUUCAACACUCAAUUUUUCAAAUUUCGUGUAUUUUCCACUCACUUUACACACUCUAACCCAAUCAACGCAUUUAGUCUCUCACACCGCUCUAACAUUCAACAAUUAGACCCCUAUCAUGCAACUAGAACAGAAUCAAAACAAACAAACAAAGAUAAAUUCAAUCAACUGGGUUGCCUCCCAGGUAGCGCUUGUUUAACGUCACGAGCCUGACCCAAAAUCUUCCAUCAUCCAUUAGUAGGUGUAAACCUUCUUACCUUCACCCAUCAGUAGGUGUACCUUCUUAGUAUCCUUCAGGAGAUACUCAAUCAUUUAGCUUCCAUCAGAAGAUGUUAUGCAUUAGAAGGCUCAUAACCAAAUAAAACAAUGUUCCAAAGUAGUUAAAAAUUACAUUUCCAAAAUAAAAUAAUCAAUGAAAUGAAUGUUUUUAAAUCACUAGGGUGCCUCCCAGUAAGCGAUCUUUCAAAAUCAUUAGCUUGACCCAAUAAAGCUCACAUUCCAUCUUUUAUGUUGGUGUUUCUCUUGCUUUUAUCACACUAACUCAUCAACUGAUUCUGGUCCACCUUUUCAACUCAUCUUGAAUAUGGAGCUUCAAUCUUUAUCACUUCAUUCUCUUUAAAGCCUUUCACAACCCACAACUUUUCCUUGAAUCUCAUAGGAUGAUGGCAAUGCUCUAGCUAGGACAAGCCAAAUCUAGAAGCAACCAAGCCAUGUACUCAAGAUGUUCACGGUUUUCAUGAGUGUUUGUGGAAUGGUGGUGGAUGAAGGUUGGAGGCUCAAUGUUUUGGUGUGCUUAAUGGUGAAGGAUGAAGUGUUUAGGGUUCUCUAAGAGAGGUUGGGCCAACUCUUGGAGGAAGGUGGCUAGAGGAGGCCACUUGGGUUGCUUUAGCCUAGGGUGACCUUAGAAGAGGUUGUGUGCACAAAAUGGCAACAUAACUUUACUAUUGUUACCAAUAAGGAGUAUUGGUAAAACCUGAAGAAUUGUUUUGAUGAUGCUGCAAGAAGUAUUAUUUGAAGAGAACAUUAGAUUUAUUUAAAAAGCAACUUAUAGAAUUUGGAUGUAGUAGGAAAAUCUUAAACCUUGUAUUUUUCACUGGAAUAAUCGAUUAAGGACAAGCUAUAAUCGAUUAUCACGUGCAUUUUGUACUAGAAUAUUCGAUUAUCAUGAAGCAAUAAUCGAUUAUCACAAGUCAUACUUGAAUAAUCGAUUAUCACUUCAUAUAAUCGAUUAUCACUUUUUGAAAAACCUGUAACGGACUUGAAUAAUCGAUUAUCACUUCAUAUAAUCGAUUAUCACUUUUUGAAAAACCUGUAACGAACUUGAAUAAUCGAUUAUCACUUACAAUAAUCGAUUAUUUGUGACAGUUGGGAGAUGAUGACCUUUCAGUUUCUGACCCUGGGCUUAUAAAUAGGUGCUUUGAGAACUUCAAAAGGUAACGUUUGAACUAAGAAAGCUAAGUAGAACACUGUGUGUCAGAGGAACGUUCUCAGAAAGCUUUUGUUCAUAGUUCCCUUGCUUGGUCUCGUGAAAGGAGAGGCUCGUGUAUCGUGUGUCGAUAGUCGGAGCAGACUCUCUUCGAGUUAGCAAGGUGCCCUUGCUUGGUCUUGUGAAAGGAGAGGCUCGCGUAUCGUGUGUCGAUAGUCGGAGCAGACUCUCUUCAAGUUAGCAAGGUGCUCUGCCUGGUCUUGUGAAAGGAGAAGCUCGCGAAUCGUUGGUCGAUUGCCGGAGCGGUUCUCUUCAAGUUGGUAGAGUGGUUCUCUUCAUUUUAUAUCCUGUUCAUUUUAUUGUAAUCUGUAAAAUUAUUUUUAGUGGAACUGUUAAUCACUCUUUGUAGUGUUUAACGACUGGACGUAGAUUUUGUUGAAUCGAACCAGUAUAAAAAUACUCGUGUGAUUUUUCUAUUCCCUACACUCAUUUUAUUUUACGCAUAUUAACUGUUAGAUUAAUUUUCUGAAAGAAAAUUAUUUUUGCGAAAAAGGACCAAUUUCGUUUUAACUGUGACUGAACACGCUUUCCGCUUUCUAUAAGUUUUAUUCCGCUGCGUUAUACUCUUCGAAAAUUACCCCCUACGAUACCAUCAACUAUAAUUUCCAAGGUGAUUACAUGAUGGAGAGCACCUCUAUUUAUAGGCUAAGGUGUCUCAAAAUGGGCUGAAACUUUAACCUAAAAGAGCCACCUUGGUUUGCUUGGAGAGCAAGGAGAAAUCCUCUCCAAUAUGAGAGAGACAAGUGGCAAAAAUCCUCUCAAAUGAGAGAGUGACAUGUGGCCACUACCUAUGGAAAAAAUCCCCAUUCCUAGAAUGACACAUGGCCACUAACAAGGAGGAAAAACUCCCCAAUAGGGUGCUUCCACAUGCCUUGGACAAAACUGACUCCUUGGCCUCCAAGUUUUUCCAAAACGUUGACCCCUUGGUCAACUCACUAAAAAAAGACGUCCAAGCAAGGUCAACAUUGGGCCUUGGCCCUUUGUUGACUUUGUUGGUCAACAUCCUAUUCUUCUUGGCCCAAAAUAAAAGGCCCAUUAAAACCUAUACUACUAGGCCCAAGGCCCAAAUGAAAUCCUACACUACUAGGGCCAAGUACAAGCCCAAAACUUAUUCAAUGAUGGCCCAUGAAAAGAAAAGUUUGACUUUGACUUCACCUUCUUUGUUUGACUCUUCUUGUAUUUGUUUGGCCAUGCUUCUUGUGAUAGGACCUUUGGUGAGAUGGUUGCCAUCACAGGAGUACCAAGUUUGAGUUUUUCCUUCUCCAAGUCAUAGUGAACCGUCCUUCCUUUGUCAACUUUAUCUUCUUCCCUAAUCUGAAAUAAGAAACAAUUCUUACCUUUGUUGACCGUCUUGAAAGCUUUAUGGCUACUCAUUGGUGCAUCCUCACAUGCAACUUUAUGACUAGUCUUCUUUACUUGAAUCUGCUUAUUGUUGAAGACAUCAAAGAUCACCUCCUCUUCUUAGUCUUUAAGCAUUAUCAACCCAUCAUCCACAUUGAUGAUUACUUUAGUCGUUUUAUAAACAGCCUCCCAAGAAUAAUUGGGAUCUCUUUGUCUUCCUCCAUCUCUAUCAUCACAAAGUCAACCAGGAACUCAAGUUUCUCAACUUGAAUCACAACAUCCUCCGCCAGACCAUAUGGUUUCUUAGGUGAUCCAUCCGCCAUUAACAAAGAAAUCUUUGUAGGAUUCACUUUAAGACCACUAAUCUUCUUGAGCAUAGAUAGGGGCAUCAAAUUAAUGCUUGACCAUAAGUCAAUUAGGGCUUUGCAUAUUCUCACAUUGCCAAUGACGCAAGGAAUGGUAAAACUUCCUGGAUCCUUCACUUUUGGAGGACGCUCCUUCUUCAACAAGACACUGCAACUAUCCUGUUCAUCAAUAAUUUCCACAUCUAGAUAUCUUUUCUUUUCAAGGAAACUUUUCAAAGCUAUUGCAUACACAGGAACCUGUUGCAAUACAUCAGUCAAAGGAAUUUUAAUCUCCAAUUACUGGAAGGUUUCUCUAAAGCAGCUCAAUUAUUUCUCUUUAUCAUUCUUUUCACUCUCCUCAAGAAGAAUCUUUUCUAUUUUUCUAUUUUUUUCUAUCCCCUCUUCUUCUAUUCUUUUUCCAUCUCACCUUCACAUAUUUUCUCUUCUUUCUCCUCUCUUCUCUAACUCAGCUCUCUUUUUUUUCUCUUCCACUCCUUCAUCAACUACACUCACUAUGGCUUUACAUUCUUCUUUCUGGUUAACCUCAAUAUUAGCCCCAAAUUACUUUUCUGCUUUGUCCUCCAUCCUGUUGGCCAACCUGCAUCAUCAGAUUUUUUAUGGGAACUUCAGUGCUCUUAUUGGUGAAGGUCGUCACUUGCAUAAAUUGUUGGAACAUCUCUUCCAACUUAGUAGUUCUAUCAUUUAAAGCAGAUACCUGUUGCCAUAGUGAUGGUUGCUACUGUGCUCUAUUAAAUUGCCCUACUUGUCUAGCUUGUCCAUUCUGACCUUGACUCAUGCUAUGGUGAGGUUUCCACCCUUGGUUGAAAUUACCUUGGCGGAAUUAAAAUUGAUUGCCCAUGUAAUUGACUUCCUCUUGGGCCUCCACUGGAUAAGCACAUUGACCAUUGAUAUGAUCACCACCACACAAUUCAUAAUUCAUAGAGCUGUUGUUGAACCUGUGAAACUUUCUUCAGCUCCUUUGGCAACUGAGCGAGUGUCUUUGUCAAAUUCUCCAGUUGUUGAGUUAUGAUCUUAUUCUGUGCAAGAAAGGCAUCUUAAGGAUAUAAUUGUAGAACUCCCUUUUGUUGAAGUGAAGCUCCUCUUUCACCGUGCAUCUCCAUAUUAUUAGUAGCCAUGUUAUGUAUCAACUCAAAAGCUUCCUCUGGAGUCUUGCACUUUAUAUUACCUCCAGUUGAGGCAUCUAGCAUAAGUUUCAUAUGAGAGCCAAGACCUCCAAGGAACAAAAGGACUAUUGAUGCUUCAUCAAAGCCAUGCAUAGGUGUCUUCUGUAAUAAGCUUUUGUAUCUGUCCCAUGCUUGACCUAAAGUUCCUUCCAUGCCUUUCCUGAAAGAAGAAAUUUCUUGCUUACCCUUGUUGAUUUUUUACUGCGGGAAGUACUUGUUAAGAAACUUUGACACCAUAGCUUCCCAGUCAGUAAAGCUAUCCUCAGGGAAAAAGUUCAACCAUCACUUAGCAUUGCCUCUCGAUGAGAAAGGAAACAAACUAAGCUUUAUAGCUUCAUCCGACAUACCAUUGCUCUUCACAGUCUUGCAAAUCUCAUUGAAUGUGGUCAGAUGUUCAUACGUACUUUCGUGAGACAGUCCAUUGAAUUGGUUGCUCUUCACCAAUUGUAUCAAUGCCAGUUUCACCUCCAUGUUUGCAGCAUUGACCCUAAGCCUUGCAAUGCUAUUAAAGUGAUGAGGGACAACAACUGUGGCGUGAUCCGCCAGAGUGCGUCUACAAUUUUUUUCUUCAGCCAUCUCCUCAAUACUCUAGUUAGAUUCUUGUGGGAAGGGUUAUAAAAGUCUUUCUAGAGAAUGAAAUGAUUCUAUAGAUGUUCGAAUCCUCCUUCUCCUUCGAGUUUCGCUCAAUCCUUCAAGAAGAGGUUCUGAAUUUUUCUUGCUCCUAGUACAAAUUGUAUCCUGCAUGUGCAAGAAAACAAAACCCUAGAAAACACUUAUUAGAACAAACAAAAGCAAAAAUAAAAAAAAUCAAGUCAAAGUUAAUCAAUAAUCACACGAAUAGAAUAAUUAAACCACGAGUCCCCGAUAACGGCGCCAAAAACUUUUUAAGACUCCGUCAAGUGUACUGAAUCGUAUCAAGUAAUAUAAAUGGUAAGACCAAGCAUUGUUUUCCCUAGAGACUCAUUGGCCUAGAUAGUUAUCUGAUUUGUUAAUUAUUUAAGACUUGAGAAUGAAAAUUAUUGUGUUUAUAAUGCACAAAAUUAAAUAUGCAUGCAAGUGUUGAUCAAUUGACCAAAAGAAUGUGCAGGUGAAUGAUUGAUAAAAUAUGGUAUGGUUAUGUUAUUGGGGUUUCCGACUUAUCCGAUCCACUCUCAUCCAUUUAUGAAUUCAAAUCCUUCAUUAAUGUUAAUGCCACUUUCUAAUUUACUUUAAACCCGAUGUCUCGGUGAAGAAAGCCUACUCUUAAUUACUAGUUCACAAUGUCUUGUAUCACUAUCAAUUAAUUAUGCAUUAGAUUCGCCCAGAAGCUUAAAGGCAAUUGGUUCUCCUUUCCCUUUGUCUAGGUAAUAUUUCUUCCGAGAGAAUUUCCCCAAGCCUAGAUUUCCCCGUAUGUGUCCAUAUCCACAAAAUCAAUUAUCAUGCAAUUGAAUGAGUUAAACAAAACAUGCAUAGAGUGUAGAGGAAAAACCUUAACAAUUAAUGAAGUACAACAUAUAUAUAAAGAAUCAAUUCAAUACAAGCAAGUUUCAGAGGAUUACAUCUUUCCCCAACAACAAUGAAGGUUUAGUUCACCAUAGACAUGGUGAAACUAGAUGAAAAUAAUGGAAAGAAUGAAAGAUAGAAUCCUAGAAAUUAUAGAUUGGAGCUUCCGCAUCCAAAAUCCGCCUCUGAUGGGUGAAGAGAGUAUUUCUGUGUCUCUUUUUGCCAAAAGAUAGACCCUAUAGGUCGACUAAACCCUUAUAUAAUUCAUAAGAAUUAUAGAAAACUGGCCCAGGCCCAUGCUGACAGCGUUCAGCGCUGGAAUUGCGCUCAACGGUAGGUGCGAUACUAAAAAUUAUUGCUCAGCGAUGGUGCCCAAGCGAGCGAUAGAGAACUCUUCAACAAGACUAGCGCUCAGCGGGAAAGAGGCGCUGAACGGUGGGUGCGACACUUGUAUUUGGCCCUCAGCGAUGGCGCUCAGGUGCCAGACAGUGGACUCAACAGCAGAAUUGGUGCUCAAUGGAAAAGUGGCACUAAGCGGUGGCUGCGAUUCUUCCUUUAUGCAAUUUUCCUUCCUUUCCUGAGCCCAACUCCAUGCUACUUCAACUUCUUUCAUCCAAUUCCUCCUAAUUCCUGCCAAAACAAGGAAAACCAAGCGUAAAACCAAUAAUACCACCUUCAACUCUCUUAUUCUCUCAACUAAAGAAAAAGCAUAAUUUCGAACCAGUUCCUAAGUCAUAAAGGGUAUUUUUAGUAUCAAAAUUAAGUAUAAAAAUAACGGUAUUUCAACUGUUAUCAGUUUACUUGUGUGAGAAUUGGACAUCAGAGUUUUCUUGUGAAUAAUUGCUAUUACUUUGGAAGCAUAAGUGAUUAUUGAUUAGCUUUGACUUGAUUUUUAUUAUUUUUUUUUUUUGUUUUGUGCUAACAAUUGCUUUGUAGGCUUUUGUUUUCUUGUGUAUGCAAGGUACAGUUUGAACCAGAAGCAAGAAAAACUCUGAACCUCUUCUGGAAGGAUUGGACAAGACUAAAAGGAAAAGGAGACAAAGAACAUCCAGAGAACUAUUCCCUUCUCUAGAGACACUUUUACAGCUUUCACCUCAAAGAUCUGACCAAAGCACCGAAGAGAUGGUUGGGGAGAAUAAUGGUAGACGCACUCUAGCAGAUUAUGCAACAGUUGUUGGCCCUCAUCAUUUUAAUAGCAUUGCAAGGUCGAGGGUCAAUGCUGCAAACACGGAGGUAAAGCCGAUGUUGAUUCAAUUGGUGAAGAGUAACCAAUUCAAUGGACUAUCUCAGGAAAGUCCGUAUGAACAUUUGACAAUGUUCAACGAGAUUUGCAAUACUGUAAAGAUUAAUGGCGUGCCAGAUGAUGCGAUAAAGCUUAGUUUGUUUCCUUUUUCAUUGGGAGGAAAUGCUAAGUUAUGGUUGAAUUCUUUCCCAGAGGAUAGCUUUACUGAAUGGGAAGCCGUGGUUGUGAAGUUUUUAAACAAAUACUUCCCACAGUCUAACAUCAACAAAGGUAAACAAAAAAGUUCUUCUUUCAGGCAGGGCAUGGAAGAAACAUUAGGUCAAGCGUGAGAUAGAUACAAAAGCUUGUUGAGAAAGACACCCACACAUGGCUUUGAUGAAGCAACGGUAGUCAUUCUUUUCCUUGGAGGUCUUGGCUCACAGACUAAAUUGAUGUCGGAUGCCUCAGUUGGAGGUAAUAUCAAAUGAAAGACUCUAGAGGAAGCCUACGAAUUAAUUGACAACAUGGCUACAAAUGAUAAUGAGAUGCACAGCGAAAGAGGAGCUCCACUUCAACAAAAGGGAGUUCUACAACUUCAAUCUCAAGAUGCUCUGCUUGCACAGAAUAAGAUUAUUAUUCAACAAUUGGAGAAUUCAAUAGAGAAACUCUCUCAAUUGCCACAAGAGAUACAGAAUGUUUCACAUGUUCAACAGCAGCAACAAAAAUGACAACAACAACCCUCUUCAUUUGAGAAGACCACAAAGCUUGAGGAAACUCUCCAAUAAUUUAUGCAAAUAAGCAUCUCUUAUUAUAAAAAUACGGAGGCUACGUUUAAAAGUAUGGAGAUGCUAGUUGGGCAGCUAGUAAAAAAGUUGGAGGUUUUUGAGAAUUGGAAUUAGUCCCUCUUCAAAACUUUUGCCUAAUUUAGUCCCCCAACUCUAGAAAUGUAUGAAUUUAGUCCUUUUAACCAAAUUUUGCUAACUUUAUUUGAUGUUUCAAACGCGUUUCUGAGCUAACAUUGAAGCAAAACUGGAUCAAACAAUGUAAACAACCCAAAUGCUAUCACGAAACAUGCUUGAAACAUCAAAUAAACCUAACAAAAUUUAGUUAAAAGGACUAAAUUCGUACAUUUCUAAAGUUGGGGGACUAAAUUAGGUCAAAGUUUUGAAGAGGGACUAAUUUCAAAUUUCACUAAAAGUUAAAGGAUGAAAAACAUAUUUAACCCUGAGAUUAAUAUUGAAGGUAACCAUAGGGAGGAGUGUAAGACCACUUUUACUAGAAGUUGCAAGGUGUUAGGUGAAAGAAAAAUAGAGAGAAAAGAGAAAGAGAAUUUGAGUGAAAAGGAAGAAGUUGAGUGGAAAAAGAGAGAGGAAGAAGAAAGUGACAAAAAAGAAGAGGAUAAGAGCAAAAAAGAGAAAAAAAUUUGAAAAACCCCUUCCUUAUCCAAAGAAUUAUUCAAGCAAGGAAAAAGAAAAACAAUUUGAGUGUUUCAUGGAAAUUUUUAAGAAAUUAGAAAUGAACAUACCUUUCUCUGAAGCAUUGCAACAAAUGCCUUCAUAUGCAAAUUUUUUGAAGGAGCUCCUCACGAAGAAAAGAAAAUACAUUGAAAAGGACACCAUUGAAGUGUAAGGAAAUUUCAGUGCAAUCUGUUGAAAAUAGGAUGGCUUAAUUUCAACACCAAGAGGGGGGUGAAUUGGUGUAACUCAAAAAUCAAAGUCUUUGUGAAAUCCUUUUCUUAAAAGAAUAAAGUUUCAAAAGUUUCUUCAAUCGCAAGGAAAAAGAUAUUUCAAGUGCAGCAGAAAUAGUUGACUACGUGAAAAGUAAAGUCGACUUUGAAAAUAAAAGUGCAGGGAUAGAGAAUUCAAACGUAGGUUUUUAUACUGGUUCGGCCAAACUGCCUACAUCCACUGUCCUUCCUGCACCCAAAAGCAAAUGCGCUAUAAUGAUCAGGGUUUUUACAACAAGGAAUCUAUAGCGCCCUCCACGUCAAACUAUAAAACACCUCUCUAACCCUCUAACAAAAAUAUAGGCAUAUACAAAAUAAAGACAACAACAAGAUGUCCCAUCUCCUGCAGUCCUCACUACUGUGAACAAUCCUCAAAUUUUAGAACGCCUCAUGUUCUCUUCCUGUAGUCACAACAAGGUAGCCACAAUCUUCACAACAAAGCAUCUUUGAAUGUUAAAUUUGUUUUCACUGAUGCAUCUAUGUUAUUUCAUUUUAUCAGCAUAUCAAUAUCUAAAAGCAAACGUUUUUUGAUAAUGCACAAAGGGGGAGAAAAGUUUGAUUGAUUAUUUGCUUGAUAUGUGAUUGCUUGAUACUGUUAAUUCAGAGUAAAUGUUCUGAAAUAUGUUGAAAUUAACUUUUGUUUUCUCUGAUAUAUUGGAAAAAUCAUUUAAUCACUUAUUCUUAUUGAAUGCUUAUAUUAGCUCUGAUAUUGGUGAUUACUUUACUGAUUUUAUAUCGUGUUUGUGUACAAACAUGGUUGCUUAUUAAUCAUGGUUGUGCAUCAUCAAAAAAAUGGGAAAUUGAUGAGAUAGUUGAUAAAGGAAGCAUUGGUUUAGCUAACCCUUAAUCUCACAAUGCUCUGGUUUUUGAUGAUGACAACACAUUAUUAAUAACAUAUGUAUUGUUAUGUGUUACAUGUUCAAUUCUUUAUUGUGAAUGAUAUCUUAAAGAACAUGUUUGUAUUGAUUCUCAUAUAUGUAUGUAUAUUCACUGAUUUUAUACUUGAUACAUCUUUUGUGAUUGCAUUAUAUAUGUUUAAGAAAAGAAAACCACGUACACUUUGUUGAACUUAUAUUGUGUGGCAAAACUGCACGUUUUAAGUCGACUUCAGUAUGAAGUAAGUCGAUUAAAACUCGUGACUUUGCACAGAUUUUCAAAAGCAGUGUUGUGAGUGAUUUUGCAUUGAAAAUUAUUUCAAACUAAGUUGAAUUGUCUAAGUCGACUGCAUGUGCAGUGAAUUCGACUUAGUUAGUUACUUGUUUUGAAAUUAUGUUAAUGCUUUUGUGCUGUAACGACUAUAUUUCAACUCUAUGCUAAAGCAUUAAAUGCAAGUCAAUUGAAUUAAAUGCGAAGCUAAUUUGGUUGUUAUAAUAGCUGCUAAUUUGUUUUAAUCGUUAUAACUUUCUGAUGACAGUCGACUACAUUAGUAGCAAAGUUGACGACAUGAGCGUCUGGUUUAUAGAAAAUUAUAAAUAGACGUGAUUCUGUUGAUCACAGAGACUUUGGAUAUUCUAAUAUUUUCAUUUGAUAUUUCAGAUUGUGAUCUCUGUUUAAAAGCUCCAAGAACUCAUCAAGAAGACGAAGGAGAUCUUUCUUGGAAGCGUUUCUUAAGGAGGAAGUGAUUUGUGCGUACUGUGUGAUCAAGAUCUGUACAAGUUGGUGUUCAUCAUAGUGGUCAAGAUUUCUAUCAAUCUUUGGAAAGAUUGUUACUGUCCUGUUGGGAUUACAGGAGGUGAACUCGUGGAGUUCUGGACACUUUGAAGAUUAUAGAAGAGGGGAUAUCUUGCUGCAUAUCUUUAUGUUGACUGCCUAUACUUUUAGUUAGAGGGUUAGAUAGAUUAUCUAUACUUCUGAUGUGGAGGUCUCUAUAGGAAUCUUUUUGUAAAAACCUUGACUAAUAUAGUGCAUUGGCUUCCUGGUUGUGGAAGGACACUGGAUGUAGGCAUUGAGGCCGAACCAGUAUAAAAACUAUGUGUUUACUUUCUUUUUCCCUAUGUUUUGUUUGAAUCGACUAUAUUCCUGGGAAUGGCUUUUGUUUCUCAAACAAAAAGGAUAUGUGAAUCCACACUUGAAUUGAUAUCAGCUACUUGUAAUGAAAAGUCAAAUUCUAUUACUAAUGGGUUCUAUAAAUCUCUUGAAACAGGAAUCUUGCAAGGCAAGGCAACUUAUGGUGGGAAAUCUGAUUCUGGAUCACAAAGAAUAAAUUUGCUUGUUGAUAGAUUCACAAGAUUUCUUAAUGAAAAGAAUGGCCAAAAGAGUCGAAUUGAUAACAAAAAGACCACAUUUGAAGAUGACCUGAUCAUGAUGGCAAAGUCUAAAGUAGUAGAAGCAGAUCUGAAACAAGAAACAAAAAGUACGACGUGGUACUUGAAAAGUGGAUGCUCGAGACAUAUGACAGGGGAUCCUACAAAAUUCUCAGGCAUCUCUUACAAAACUACUGGUCAUGUUACAUACAGCGACAAUAACAAAGGGAAGAUCAUCGGUAUAGGUAAAAUCAAAACUCCUUCAUCUGAUGAAAUUAAAAAUAUUCUUCUUGUUGGAGGGUUAAAGCACAAUCAACUCAAUAUCAAUCAGCUAUGUGACAGAGGAUUAAAGAUUACCUUUGAGCCUAAAUAUUGUUUGAUUAGCAAGACGAAUUGUUACUUGUGGGAAAAAGGCUUAAAAACAUUUACGUAAUCGAAUUCAAGGAAACAUCAUUCAAGUGAGUAGUCUAUUUGAUGACUAACGAAAGAGGAUGCGUGUGUUGAGACUCCGGCAAGUGUACUGAAUCGUAUCAAGUAAUAUAAACGGUAAGACCGAGUAUCGUUUCUGAUGAGUCAAUAUUUUCUCGACUUCGCUUAGUUUAUUGUGCUAGAAUUAAUCGCGGAAUCGUGCUUAAAUGUCCGGUAUUUUUCCGUUUUUGCCAAUUGUGCUUAAUUUGAUCAGAAAUUCUUAUUUUAAUUAAUUUUAAUUAUCUGAGACUAAUUAUUUGCAUUAUUAAUUAUAGAGAAAGUAUUGGUUAAUAUUUUAGGACUUAAAGACAAAUACCACAUCAAUUUUAUUCUAAGCUAAAAUGAGAGAGGAAGUGUGAAUUUCAUAUUUGGAAGUGCAAGUGGUAAUUCAUUUAGUUGGGAAAAAAAGAGGGCUGAUCUCAUGGGUGUGAAGGUGGUGUCCUAAUUUCAUUUAAAAGCAAAUGGGCCCAUGAAUUCAAGUUGCUUCCAGUAACACUCAAAUGUGUCACGGGUUCGGUAAUUGCUUCGUGCAGCUCACAUUAAAACACAUUCUUGCUGUAGGACCACGGCCCACAUGCAUGUGUUGGAUAGCUUAAAUAAAUAAAAGAAGCAACGGACAACAACUUUGGAGAGUCCAAUUAAAUGUCACGGCCCAAAGUUAAGAAGGCAGCUGCAUGUUCAACACAAGUGGACUUCAGACAACAGCGCGUCCUCCAUUAAACUAUGGGUGUGAAGUCUGCAAUAGGGAAAGAAGAAAGCAACACGCAUUUGGGUUUCACUUGGGACGGUGUUGGAAAACUGAAUAGCACACGUCCAAAAACACACGUGAGAGGCUAUAGCACUCCACCGUCCAGCAAACAUUGAUCCAGCUCCUUCAUGGCCCAACACCACCUCUUAACGGAUGGCCCAAGGCAUAUCCAACAACAUCCAGCAAGCCUCCGUCCAACAGCCUUCACACGCACUUGAGCAGCCUUCAUUUCACGGAUAGUAGCUCACGGACCUGGAAGCAACUGCUGGAAGCACACAACAUUGCACCAUGGCAGUAGCAAAUUAAGGAGGUGCAUCAGCAACACAUGAAAAACGGCCUGCACUCCAUAAUCACGGCCCAUAGCAGCUCCAGCAGCAGGUCAUGAUCCUCAUUUAAGGGCAUCAGCCGCUACUUCGGAGAGAGUUUUUUUUUUUACAUUGAAGGCGGCAAGUAUGGAGGGUUACAGCUAGCAGUUCAGCACACUUCCAUUUCUUUUUAUUCUAGCACUUUAGUUAUUUAGAAAAGCAUUAUAAUAGAAAAGGAAAACAGCUUCACGGGAUACAGUUUCAUUUGCUUUCUUUUAGAAAUACAAGAGUGUGAUUUAUUUUUGUGCUGCACACUGAUUUCACACUGAUUUCAUUUUAGAAGAGGUUGCUUAUUUUGGUUUUAAGAAAGAAUGAAGCGAUAUUACAAUUUUCUAUUUGGAGUAAAAAGCGGUGAUAGAAUUUUUUUAAGAAAGUGAUGAUUUCAAUAGAAUUUUUUUAAGAAAGUGAUGAUUUCAUUUAGAAUGUGCACACAGUGGUUUACUUGGAGUAGAAAGCGGUGAUGGAAUUUUAUUUCAUUUCUUUUAAGCAUUUCAAUUUUUAGCAAAGUGUUGAUUUAGUAUUUGCUACAUGUUAAUUAAUUUACACAUCCUGUUUUAGGAUUGUUCAGUGUACUAUUUUCAUGUUGUCUGUUAUGUUCGGUUUAUUGUUUCCGUUUACUUUAAAGUUAUCUAUUUUGUUCAGCUGUGUUAAUUUAACUGUGAUGUUUUCUUAGGUUAGUUGGUUGGUUGUUAACAAAAUUACAAGGUUUCCUUGAGAUUUAUUGGACUGUUCUUGUGUUUAUUGUGCUCUGCCUGGCAUUCUGUGAAAUCUAACUGUGUUCUUGCAACGGGUAUACGCUUAGUUGCCCAGUCGGUGAUUGCAUCUCCGCUUAGUUGACCAAUUUGUAUAGAACACAUCAGAUAGAAUAGCUUUAUCAUGUUCGCUUAGUUCGUGAUUAUGAUAGCAAGAUUAACCUUCGCUUAGUCGAUUAGCUAUGCUGGAUUAGAGGUUUGUUUAGUUUAUUCAUGAGACCCUUGCACUUUAAUUUUCAUACUUCUGCUCUGAUUUAGCUCAAUAUUCAAUUUGUUGUGUGCUUGCGAUUGGGUAUUCGCUUAGUUUUCUAGUCGGUGUUUAAUCUUCGCUUAGUUGAUUAGACUGUAUGGUGCAUGACUGAUUGGACUUGAGCAUUGCAUUCACUUAGUUUGCAAUUUCGAAGACCGGAUUAGCCUUCGCUUAGUUGGAUGAUUUGUGUUGGAUUUGGAUUGGAGUAAUGUGUACUUGUCGUUAAUCUGGGAUUGGAAUCCGAGUAAUUGAGUUAAUGACCAACCGUUUUUAUUCUGUAUUUGAUUAUGUUUUGCAUUUUCGUUUUCACAUCUCUGUUUGCAUGUUUUUUAAUUUAAUUCAUUUGCAUUCGCAAAACCUUUCACAAACCCCCUCACUUUGUGUUUGACCUGAUUCUCGAACCAUAGUUUGGUCCUUGAGAGACGACCUAGGAGUCACAUCCUAGUCUAUACUACAUUCUUUAUGCACAUUAAAUUUGCAUGGGGUGCGACACCCAUCAAAUUUUGGUGUCGUUGUCGGGGACCAACGGUUCGGUUUUAGGUCUUUUGUUGUGUUAGUGUGUGUUGUGUUUUGUCUCGUGUUGUGAGUGUGACGUUCUGUUUUGUGUGUUCGUUAUUGUUUGUGUGUUGCAUGUUUAAUUGUGUAGUUUUGUGUGUUUCGUAAUUUCUAGCAUUUCCUUUCGUCUUUCCCCCUUCUUUCAUCAUGUCUACCUAUUUUGAUUAUGAGAAUACUGCUUUUUCUGCCUGUGCAUAUGACUAUGAUUCUCCUUCUGUAUGUUACUCUGAGUAUGGUUCUCAUGUAUACCUUGCUGAUUUCUAUGUUGAGAACAAUAUGUCUCAUCCUCCCAUUCCUGAGAGUGCUCUUUGGGAGCCGAUCACACAUUAUGAGGAUGAUGAUCAUUUCAUUCUCACCUCUGGACUGAUACACUUGUUGCCUAAGUUUUAUGGUUUUGUAGGUGAAUGCCCACAUAGACAUUUGGAGAGGUUCCAACGCAUUUGCUCUGUAAUGAAAUCUCCACAUGUCCCUGAUGAUCGCAUUUUCUUAAAGUCAUUCUCACACUUAUUACAAGAAGCAGCAAGUGAUUGACUAUAUUGUCUUCCUCCAGGAUCCAUCACUUCUUGGGAAGAUCUUAAGCAUAUGUUCUUGGAUGAAUUCUUCCCUGCCCAAUAUGGUUACAACAACGAUCCUGGGUGGAAUGACCCUAGCUUGGGAUGGUAUGAUGCUCCACAACAAUAUCAACCAUUCCAGAAUUCUUGUAUGCCUUCUCCACUAGUCUAGGAACCACAACAACUGUAGUUUCAUGAGCCUGCCCAGUCUUCAUCCGCUACUGAUAAGAAUUUGGAAAGCAAGCUUGAUUCUCUUUUGAGUUUGGUGACACAGUUGGCUUCCAACCAGAGACCAGCACCUCCAUCUGCAUCUGUUGCACGACUGUGUGUUAUAUGUCCUUCUAGUGACCACUAUACGGAUGCAUGUCCUUCAUUGCAGCAACCUGUUGCUCGUCAUGCGCCUCAAGCUUAUGUUCCAAACAUCUACAAUAACAGGCAACCACAGUAGCAAAAUCAGAGGCAACAACAACAGCAAAAGGCACCUGCCAAAUCUUCUACUUCUUCUAAGCCUACAUUGAAUGAGUUGUGGGGGCAGAUGGCCACGCAGUUCACCGAGGAACAGUCUCAAGUUUCAGAGAAAUCAUCAUUCCAGACUGUUCACCUUCUAGAUGAUGUCAGUGCCAUCCACAUAGGAGAUAGGGAGCACAGUCAUGAGCUUACUACUGCAUCAUCUACUUUCCCACCCUCCUAUCUUUCCCCUCUUGCACUUGAGGAUGCAGUUGCUCAUUCUGCUAUUACUGGUGAUAUGAAUCAUGAAUGAGCAUAGGUUUUCUCUAAACUUGAAAUCCCACUUCCUUUGCCUGAGCUGUUUAUACAUUCAAAUAUUCUUGAUUCUGCAGCAGAUUCACAUGUUAGUGCUAAUUUUGAUAUGGAAACUGUGAAAACUGAAAAUGUUUUAGACUUAGAAUUAAAUUUUGAUCUUUCACAGUUUUCUAAAAAUUUUAAAUGUAAUUGUGAAGUUGGUUAUUGCUCUAUUUGUGUUGAAAUAAAUUCUGUAAUACAACCAACUUCCAAGUUCAUAAUGCAUGAUACUAACUGUGAGGAGAUUACUGAAAAUUCUGAGGACGAGGCAGAUAUGAGCAGAUAUUUUAAGCUAGGUGGACAUUCUUCGUCUUCCACGACUGAAGGAGAUUUACUAAUGAAUCCUCCCUUCCUUGAUCCAGUUGUGGAAGACAUAUCUCUUCUAGUUGGCGGAUGAAGCAGUUCCCUAGAAAUAGUUACUUCUUAGACCCAUUGGUGGAAAACACUUCUCUGCUAGUUCAAAAUUGGCAACUUCCACCAUGACCAGGGGAGUUUUUCUUGUCCCUUCUCCUUCUUUCCAUACGUGUAUUGCACUUGUCCAUGAUUUGUUGACUGUUUUGAUUUUUGAUCUUAUGCUUAUAAUACACUAAGGACAUUGUGUAGUUUAAGUGUGGUCUAUUGGGGGAGAUUCUGAAUUUUUUUUUUAAUUUUUUUUUCUUUUCUAGGUGUUAAAUUUUUUGCUUUCUAGGUAGUUUUUGUUUUGUCCUGUGUACAGUUUUGCAUGUUUCUCUUGAUUUCUGGACUUUGUUUAGGUUGUAGAUGUGUCUUUCACUUCAUUGAUACUCUGAUUUGUUUGAAAUCCAUGCUUCUCUUUGCUUGGAAAGGUGAUUAUGAUGUUUGAGAGGUUGAAUUGGUUGUGACAGAAUUACCCUGUGUGAGAUUUAAGCCACUUUAUGUUCUUCCUUGUGUGAUAUGUCUUUUGAUUGCUUGCAUAUAUGCCUUGGCUUGACUCUGGUUAAUAGUUCAUGAUUGAUAUGCAUGUUUGGAAGUGAUAAAGGCAAUUUUGUUGUUGAGCCUCUCUAGCCAAAUGAGCCCACCCUGUUUCGAUCCUUUGAUAGCCCCUUUGAGCCUAUACUUUCCCCAUUUCUUUGUUUUGAAGCUCAUCCACUAGCCCUAAGUGAAAAACCAUGAUUACCUUAACCUUAGGGAAUUUUGGAGCUUUGGAAGUGUUUUGGGAACAAGUGUGGUGGUCUCCUUGGGGAUUUAGAUGAAUUGGCUAGUUGGUUCCUCUUCUUGUUUUUGUUUUUGUAAAUAUGUUGUGUAUCUUGUCUCUUAGAGUUGUGUCCUAAAUAGAGAGAAAAGAAAAGAGACAAGAUAAAAAAAGAAAAAGAAAAAGAAAAUACAGAAAAAUGAGAAAAAUAAAAAAAUUUGCGAAUAAUGGAGUCAAGAAGAGGAUUAAAUUAGAGGUUUUGGGUGUGUUUGACCGUGUUACACUUGUUCCCCAUUGCUCCUCUAUUUCUUUUGGUUUAUAACUUGUCAUCCAUAUUAUAUCAUUCCCUUUCCUUGGCCCAUUACAUCCAUAAAAGACUUUUUGAUUUGAACAUGCAUAUGUGUUUGAGUGUUGAUAUUAGAGGCUUGCCAAGUCUGUUGUUUCUUGUUUCCUUGAGUGCAUUGAGUUUAAUUUCUUUACCCUAGACACUUGAGAGAUACACUGAUAGUGCAUCUGUGAGGUUCUGUUUCUUUUGAUUCACCUCUUGAACUGAUUGAUCAUUUUACCAUAUCUUGAAUUUCUUGGAUGACUUCAUGAGUAUCUAUUUUCCCUGAUUUUGUGUUGGAUAUUGUCUACUUCCUUUCUUUGUCUAGAUUUCUUGAGGACUGUGUAAUUCUGUUUCUGUCCUUGUCAGUCUUUGUUUUUCGUGUGCUGAGGUUGUGUCACUUCCCUGAUGUCCUUUGAACUAUUCCCUGAUUUGCGUCUUUGAUUUUUCCCAGGAGUGCAAAAGACUAAGUGUGGUCUAUUUUGAUGAGUCAAUAUUUUCUUGACUUCGCUUAGUUUAUUGUGCUAGAAUUAAUCAGGAAUUGUGCUUAAAUGUCCGGUAUUUUUCCAUUUUUGCUAAUUGUGCUUAAUUUGAUCAAAUUCUUCUUUUAAUUAAUUUGGAUUAUCUAAGACUAAUUAUUUGCAUUAUUACUUGUAGGGAAAGUAUUGGUUAUUUUAGGACUUAAAGACAAAUACCACGUCAAUUUUAUUCUAAGCAAAAAUGAGAGAGGAAGUGUGAAUUUCAUAUUUGGAAGUGCAUGUGGUAAUUUAUUUAGUUGGAAAAAAGAGAGGGUUAAUUUCAUGGGUGUGAAGGUGGUGUCCUGAUUUCAUUUAAAAGUAAAUGGACCCAUGAAUUCAAGUUGCUUCCUGCAGCACUCAAAUGUGUCACGGGUUGAGAAAUUGCUUCGUGCAGCUCACAUUAAAACACAUUCCUGUUGCAGCACCACGACCCACAUGCAUGUGUUGGAUAGCUGAAAUAAAUAAAAGAAGCAACCGGCAACAACUUUGGAGAGUCCAAUUAAAUGUCACGGCCCAAAGGUAAGAAGGUAGUUGCAUGUUCAACACAAGUGGACUUUGGACAACAGCGUGUCCUCCAUUCAACUAUGGGUGUGAAAUCUGCAAUGGGGAAAGAAGAAAGCAACACGUAUUUAGGUUUCAUUGGGACGGUGCUGGAAAAGUGACUAGCACACGUCCAAAAACACACGUGAGAGGCUGUAGCACUCCACCAUCCAGCAAACAUUGAUCCAACUCCUUCAUGGCCCAGCACCACCUCUUCAUGGACGGCCCAACACAGAUCCAGCAACAUCCAGCAAGCCUCAGUCCAGCAGCCUUCACAUGCACUUGAGCAACCUUUAUUUCACGAACAGUAGCUCACGGACCUGGAAACACAACACAGUCCACCAUGGCAGUAGCAAAUUAUUAAGCAGGUGCAUCAACAACACAUGAAAAACAGCCUGCACUCCACAAUCACGGCCCAUAGCAGCUCCAGCAGCAAAUCAUCAUCCUCAUUUAAGGGCAUCAGCCGCCACUUGGGAGAGAGUUUUUUUUUUUAACAUUGAAGGCGGCAAGUAUGGAGGGUUAUGGCUAGCAGUUCAGCACACUUCCACUUCUUUUUAUUCUAGCACUUUAGUUAUUUAGAAAAGCAUUGUAAUAGAAAAGGAAAGCAGCUUCACAGUAUGCAGUUUCAUUUGUUUUCUUUAGUUAUUUAAUGUGAUUUAUUUUUGAGGUGCACACUGAUUUCACACUAAUUUCAUUUUAGAAGAGGUUGUUUACUUUGGUUUUAAGAAAGAAUGUACAAUUUUCUAUUUGGCGAAAAGGUCUUUGGCUUUUAGGAAACGGUGCAGCACAUUUCCAUUGCUUAUUUUUCAGCAAUGUUACAUCUAGCAUAGCAGGAAACUUCGUGAAUUUUAAUUGAAGUGUGCGCUGAUUCGAGAAGGAGCUGGAGUGCACACAGGUUGCGAUUCGGUGACUAAUUUUAUUUGCUUUUGAGAAACGCACAUUCAACCAAUUACUUUUAGGAGCGUUCAUAUUUUUCUUUUAGAAAGUGACGAUUUCAUUUAGAUUGUGCACACGGUGGUUUACUUGGAGUAGAAAGCGGUGAUGGAAUUUUAUUUCAUUUCUUUUAAGCAUUUCAAUUUUUAGCAAAGUGUUGUUUUAGUAUCAGCUACAUGUUAAUUAAUUUACACAUUGUUGACAAAUUGGCAAGUGUACCAAAUCGUACNAGUAAUAUAAAUGGUAAGACCCAGUAUCAUUUUCCCAAGAGACUUGUAUGGCUUUCUCGUUCGCGUGAAUUAAAAUAAUAAGACUUGAAAAAUNNNNNNNNNNNNNNNNNNNNNNNNNNNNNNNNNNNNNNNNNNNNNNNNNNNNNNNNNNNNNNNNNNNNNNNNNNNNNNNNNNNNNNNNNNNNNNNNNNNNNNNNNNNNNNNNNNNNNNNNNNNNNNNNNNNNNNNNNNNNNNNNNNNNNNNNNNNNNNNNNNNNNNNNNNNNNNNNNNNNNNNNNNNNNNNNNNNNNNNNNNNNNNNNNNNNNNNNNNNNNNNNNNNNNNNNNNNNNNNNNNNNNNNNNNNNNNNNNNNNNNNNNNNNNNNNNNNNNNNNNNNNNNNNNNNNNNNNNNNNNNNNNNNNNNNNNNNNNNNNNNNNNNNNNNNNNNNNNNNNNNNNNNNNNNNNNNNNNNNNNNNNNNNNNNNNNNNNNNNNNNNNNNNNNNNNNNNNNNNNNNNNNNNNNNNNNNNNNNNNNNNNNNNNNNNNNNNNNNNNNNNNNNNNNNNNNNNNNNNNNNNNNNNNNNNNNNNNNNNNNNNNNNNNNNNNNNNNNNNNNNNNNNNNNNNNNNNNNNNNNNNNNNNNNNNNNNNNNNNNNNNNNNNNNNNNNNNNNNNNNNNNNNNNNNNNNNNNNNNNNNNNNNNNNNNNNNNNNNNNNNNNNNNNNNNNNNNNNNNNNNNNNNNNNNNNNNNNNNNNNNNNNNNNNNNNNNNNNNNNNNNNNNNNNNNNNNNNNNNNNNNNNNNNNNNNNNNNNNNNNNNNNNNNNNNNNNNNNNNNNNNNNNNNNNNNNNNNNNNNNNNNNNNNNNNNNNNNNNNNNNNNNNNNNNNNNNNNNNNNNNNNNNNNNNNNNNNNNNNNNNNNNNNNNNNNNNNNNNNNNNNNNNNNNNNNNNNNNNNNNNNNNNNNNNNNNNNNNNNNNNNNNNNNNNNNNNNNNNNNNNNNNNNNNNNNNNNNNNNNNNNNNNNNNNNNNNNNNNNNNNNNNNNNNNNNNNNNNNNNNNNNNNNNNNNNNNNNNNNNNNNNNNNNNNNNNNNNNNNNNNNNNNNNNNNNNNNNNNNNNNNNNNNNNNNNNNNNNNNNNNNNNNNNNNNNNNNNNNNNNNNNNNNNNNNNNNNNNNNNNNNNNNNNNNNNNNNNNNNNNNNNNNNNNNNNNNNNNNNNNNNNNNNNNNNUGCUCUUUUCUUGAGUCAACGACCUGUAUCUUCAACUCCAUUCUUACUUUUCUCAAAUUAGCUUCAAAACAAUGCAAAACAAGCAUAAAAUCGCUAAAAACAGCUUUUGACACUCUUCAGACUCAUUUAUUGAGUUUUGCUUGAUUCUAGGCUCAUUCCGAGUAGUAAAGGGUAUAAUUUUGUCCCAAUUGUCAUAUGAAAAUAACUGUUUUUCAACCUUCAUCAACACCCCAAACUUAGAAUUUUGCUUGUCCUGAAGCAAAACAAAACAAAACAAUCACACAAAACAAAACUUGGCUUUAUACUGUUUCAUCCAAUGUCUCAACAAUCUCAAGGUACAUGACAAAACCACUCAAAUCAAUAUGCUCAAUGAAAUCCAAAAUAAGAUGCAUGCAUGCUUUCAAUCCAGAGAUUGCAUAAUAGAUGUUAUACACUAUGAAUGAUCCAUCCACUAAGCAAAAAUGCACACAUGAAAAUUAACAGUUCAAAUCAAGCAAGUGUUUCACUCAAUCACUCAAGUGUUUACGGUUACACUCCACUCUCUAUUGUUCAAAAGUCACAUAAAACAAAAUUGUCAGUCAUCUCAAACAAUCAACAUCUUUACAUGCAAAUGUCAUCAAAAGGACUUUUCCAAGCUUGUAAUGAGGUUGGGCUAACAAGAAAAAUUGGUUUUUCUAGAAUGCAAAAUCCUUGAGUCAAGAGAGCUAACAAAAUAUUAAACAUUUACGCACAACUCUCUCACCAAAAUUUCUCAUUCCCAACUUCUUCCCUUUUUCUUUUUCAUUGAGCUCAUCUUCAUGCUUUUCUUCCUUUCUUUUCUUUUUCUCAUGAAUUUUUCUUUUUACAACAAUUGAGCUCAAUUCCUUUCACUUGCUUUUUCAAUUUUCCCCGUACAACCCCAAACUUGAACCUUUUCAUCACAUAUAAUUAAGCUCAUCCCAACUCAAGGUAAAAAAAAAAACUUCAAAACAAGGGUUCACAUACUGUUUAAGGCUAAGGUUCAAAACCGGGUAAUAAUAUCUCAAACAUUUUGGGUGAAAAUCUGGCUAGAGAAGGGUUUUCAAAAAUGGCCUUGAUCAUAUGACAUUCACAUGUAAUUCAAUCAAUCAUCAAGAUUAAGGCAAUAUCAUCCAUGUUUUCCUAUGAACGAUACAUGCAACAAUAAAAACUCUGCAGCUCAAAAUCUCACACACAUGCUUCCUCACAAAAAAUUCACUCAUACACCAUGCCUAGCAUCAUGACCACAAUCAUAAAUUCAUCACCCAUCUAUUUCCUGGAUAUCAACAUGCAUUGCAACUCAAUUCUCAUCCACAUGAAAUAAUCAUCAAAUAGAUCCAUCAUGCACAUCAGUCAGUUAAACAUUUUCAGAACAAGUGUUAAAGCCAAGAGUACACACCAAAAUUAAAAUUCAACCUAUUCUAGGAAUUUAAAAUGCAAAAGUGUAAGAAGAAAUUCUAGGUUGCCUCCUAGUAGCGCUUGUUUAACGUCGCGAGCCUGAACCAAACCUGGUUGGCACUCGUUAGCAAGUGCACUUCCUUCCAUCACCCAUCAGUAGGUGUGCCGUCCGGAUAUCCUUCAGUGGAUACCAAAAAUUUAGCAUCCCUUAGUAGAUGCUACCCAAAAAUUGUUCAGAAAAUUCAAAAAGUACAUGUUCCAAACAAAAUAAAACAAAAGACCGAAAAAGAAAAUUGUUCAUAAAAAAAUACAAAAUUUGAUUUCCAACAAAUUCAACUCUUCUUCUUCAUGUUGGGAUCUUCAUCAUCCCACCGGCUCACUUUUCUUCGGUCCACCUUCUUGAUCACUUUUGAAUAAGGUCUUUGAAUCUCCAUCAUUCCUUUUUCUUUCAACUCCUUUACUAUCCAUCCCUUCUUCUUAAAUCUCACUUUGCUCCCUGGUAGGAGUGGAUCUUCUUUUGAUUUUGGGUGAAUGGUUCUUCUCCCUUUAUUCUCAGGCACCUGCAAAACACAACAGCUAUCAAAAUAAUCAUUACCUAUUAUGCUCUCUUCUUGUUCUUCAUUCACCUCUGGCUUCUCGAAUGUUUUUCUUUUUACUGUCUUAAUCUCAUCCCCUUCACGGCCAGUAUAGAGAAAUAGAUAAUUCAAAUCUCUCAUCAUUAUUCUUCCAUCAUAAACAUCAAUAAACAUCUUUGAUGUUGCCAUGAAGGGUCGCCCCAAAAUCACAGGAUGCUCAUCCUCUAUUUUAACAUCGAUGACAAUGAAAUUUGCUAAAAACUCAAGACAGUCUGCUCGCACAACAACAUCUUCCACCAUUCCCACUGGCUUUUUUUUAGAACCGUCUACCAUUGUUAUAGUCAAGUCAGAGGGUUUCAACACAAGUCCACCGAUUUCCUUCAAAAGUUCCGUGGGUAUUAAAUUAAUGUUGGAUCCAGAAUCUAUCAUAGCUUCCCCCUCUCAAUCAUUUAGGGAACAUAACAAUGUUAAACACCCCAGAUCUUUAGCUUUAGGAGGAUAAUUACUCUUUUGUGGGUGAACAACAAGAUCCUCUUCUUCAUCAGUAAGCUCCAUUUCAUCCUCCUUGUUAAUUUUGACUCUUUCUGAAUGGGGAGGAAUCUGCUUAUUUUCUAAAGGUAACAAGUCACUUCACCAACUUCUUUUUCCUUGUAAUUCUCCUCUCCUUCAUCUUCACUGCUCAUGGGUUCAAAGAAUUCACCCAUUAACGUCUCCUCUUCUUCACUGUUCACAACAUGGAAUGGUUCAAUAUCUUCCUCCCAACCAUCCUGACUGUCUGCGUCCCAACCACUCUGGCUUCUAAUAAUCUUGCAUUCCCUCUUAGGGUUAGCCUCAGUGCUAGCCCUAAACUGGUUUUUCUCUGUAAUCUCUAUCCUUGUUGCCAGUUGCCCAAUCUGUGACUCUAGUGAUUUAAAGUUGGCCUGAUUGUUAUUCACCUGUUGCUCAUAUCUUUUGUAGAAGUCAUCAAAUCGAUUACUCAAGGCCCUGACAGACUCAAUCAAAUUACUCACUUGCUGCCACAGAGGUAACGGUUGUUUUUGCCGGAAGUUUCCUCCUUGUCCAGAAGAAGCAUUUUGGCUUUGCCCAAUACUUGGAUGAUUUUUCCAACCUUGGUUAGAGUUACCUUGGUUGAAAUUUCCCUGUUUGUGAUGAAAUUGGGCCCCCAUAUAAUUCACGUCCUGUUGCAUCUCUUCUGUAAACGCACAUUGACCAUUAAUAUGGUCACCACCACAUAAAUCGCAAAGUUGUUGUGCCUGGGAAACAUUUCUGAGCCCCCAAGGAAGUUCAGAGACGACCUUUAGCAACUUGUCCAAUUUCUGGCUGAGGAGGUGAUUUUGUGCUGCUGCUGCAUCUUCAGUAGGAAGAUGUAAAAGUCCUCCUUUUUGCGUGCCCCUCUCACUUUGCGACACUUCAUUUAGAGCCAUCUCUUCAAUUAAGUUGUAUGCCUCAUCUUCUGUUUUUCUAUUAAUACUGCCUCCAGCCGAGGCAUCUAUCAUCAUUUUGGUCUGAGCACGCAAACCUCCAAGGAACGCAAGCAAGUAUGAAGCUUUAUCAAACCCAUGAACUGGGGUCGCUCUCAAUAAUUCUUUGAAUCUAUCCCAUGCUUUCCCAAGUGAUUCCUCCAUCCCUUGUUUGAAUGAAGAGAUUUCCAACUUCCCUUGAUUGAUCUUUGGAGGUGGGAAGAAUUUAGUAAUAAAUUCCCUCCAGGAAAGAAUUCAACCAAUCUUUUGCGUUUCCUCCAAGAGAGAAAGGAAACAAACUAAGUUUGACUCUGUCGUCCGUCACUCCAGUUAUCUUCACUGUGUUGCAAAUUUCACCAAAGACUGUCAAAUGUUUGUAAGGAUUUUCAUUUGACAACCCAUGAAAUUGGUUGUUCUGGACUAACUAAAUGAGUGCCAACCUCAUCACCAUGUUGGUUGUAUUGUCUGCUGGAACUGCAAUGCUGCUAAAAUUCAAGGGACCAACUGUAUUAGCUGCGUCCCCCAAAGUGUGUCUGGGAGGAGGUUGAUUGACCAUCUCCUCAAGAUCUGGUUCAAAACUCUCAGGUGAAGAAUGCAAAGUCACUUCUGGAGAAAGAGAUCUCUCACGCAAAGGACGUCUCUUUCUCCUCUCGUAUGGUAGACCUUCUAGCAGAGGUUGUUGGUUUUUCCUGCUUCUAGUAUGUAUUGUUUCCUGCAUACACAAGAAACACACCCUAAAAGCACUUUUUUUAGACAAAUAAAAAAAAAAGCAAUAAAACAACAAUAAAACAAAAAUAAUUACAAUCAAGUCAAAUUCAAUCAAUUCACACUACUAGAAAAAUAAACCUCGAGUCCCCGGCAGCGGCGCCAAAAACUUGUUGACAAAUUAGCAAGUGUACCAAAUCGCACAAGUAAUAUAAAUGAUAAGACCAAGUAUCGUUUUCCCAAGAGACUCGUAUGGCUUUCUCAUUCGCGUGAAUUAAAAUAAUAAGACUUGAAAAAUAAAAAUUAAUAAGUUGGAUUUGAGAACAAAAAUAUUAACAUGCAAAAUAAAGUUGAUUCAAUUGACAAACGAAAACAAUGGAGGAAUGGAUGUUGUUGGGGGUUUCCAAUUUCAUCUGUUCCGCUCUCUCUUACAUACUACCCUUGAAUAUUAGUUUGAUUGAUUCGAUUGUUAUGCGACUUUCUUAGCCUCCCCUUAACCCAAUCCCUCGGCGAAAAGGGCCUAAUAUUAACUACUGGCUUGCUAUCCCUAACCUCCUCUAGUAAUUAAUACCGCAUUAUAAACAAAAGUUAGCGCAAUUGAUCGUCCUACCCCUAUCCCUAGGGGGUAUUGCAAAAUCAAGAAAUUACUCACCAGUUC